rnacentral:lncRNA from 1 species
AGAUAUUCGUUAGCACUGCCAGAAUUGCUACUCAUCAAACAACAACAGAUUCAUUCAUCAAGUCAUGCAAAUGCUUUCGGACACUUAUUUGUAGUUGCAUUUUAAAUAACGUCACAAUUUCUUUCAUCUCGAUGGGAAGAUCCUACUCAUUAAUGUUUUAAGUAAUAGGCAACAAAGAUGUACACUUUAAGACGGCCUGGUUAACUAAUCCUAUUAUAUAUCUCCAAUAGACACAAUAAUCUAGCAUGCUUCACCAAUUAAUCACGUCAAUCAUCAAGAAGAGCUAGCCUUAUUAUCAUAUAUCCAAAGCUAUAACAAUACAUGAAAGAAAUGAACUUUCAACUGAGUGACAAAAACAAAUUAAGCUCAUACCUCAUAAUGGGGAUCGUCCUUGACAUGGUACUCAUGCAUUAACCAGUCGGUCUUAACUGGUACCUUAGAAUCAGGACCACGGCAGUAGAAAGUCAAGAACUUUUUGGUACCGGUAAGGCCGUUUCCAGCUUCGAUAUGGGAAUCUUCACUAGUAAUUUUCCAUUGCCCUGCUUCUGUUCUUCUGUCGACGCGGUUACUGUUCCUGUACUUGUAACGAGGUUCAUAGGAAAAGUAAAAAACUUGAUCCUCAGACUCGGUUUUUGAUUCCGCUGCAUCAUAAAAAUAUAUGUCGCGUACCGGUUAGUUCAUUUGGAAAAAUCUUUCAGUGCAAGAACUUAGAAAGAAAGAGAAAAGAAAAAAUUACAUAUACAUACUUGGUAAGUCCCAUGGCUCAAGGCUGCAGAUAUGAUCAAUAUCCUUGAUAGGAUGAUGUUGUGAGAAAUGGGGGUUAAGCCUCUUCUCCUUGAGAAGACGGAGGAUUAGUUCAUCAGAUGGCUGGAAUUUAUACCCACUCUCCAUUUCAGAUUCUUUUUUUUCUUUUUCUUUUUUUACAAUAACCACUUCUUCAAUUAAUGGUAGGGAUCUGAUGAAACCCCCCCAAGACUGGUACUAAUUCAGAACAGUUACAGUGGUAUCUCUCCCUCUCUGGUUUGAUGGGAAGAAUUUGCUCUGGGAGACCCAAAGGGUGAGUGUGAGUGUGUGAUCAUGACAAUGAUCGAGUAAGUGCUCAUGUUACUCAUUUUAUACAAUCAAAAAGCGAAGGCGUUAACUAUACGUUCCCAUGACGCGUGGUGCUACUGUUAACUCUAAAUUCUCACAACUUUUGACUAGACUAAAGAAUCAGUUUCUUGAAGGCCACUCAACGAACAGCGACAAAAAUAAAAUGGAAAAUUGUAAAAAGUAUUAGGCUAUCAGCUUCUUACUCGCAUAGUUUUGAGACUUGAGACCCUACCAUCAUCCUCUUAUUGGUUCAGCACCAUCAUCCUCCUCCUCCUUUUAGUACUGAUAUUUAAAUACUGGAAUUUAAAUUGAAAAGAUUUGAUAAAAGACUAAUAAAAUAAAUCAUAACACUUCAUACUCUAAAAUCGUAAAUUGUUAUAGUUUAUUUUAUCAAGUUUUGUCAGCAUUUAGUUUCUUUAUUUUUUUCCUAAUAUUUAUUUUUAAAUAUUUUAGAAAAUGACAACAAAAUAACAGUUAAAACUAUAAAACUAUAUAAAAUAAUUGUUAAUUAUAAAAAUAAUGAGAAACUUGUACAUGGGGUUACCAAUAAUUAAAAAAUUAACAAUUACUAAAAAAAACCGCUCAAAUUAUCGGAGUAUUUAUUGUGAGGUUACUUGACUGAGGGGAAUUCUAGAAUCUUCUACUACUUUCAAUCUCUUUCUCAGCAUUUUCAUUAUUUUAAUUUCACUGAUGAAUAGUAAGGAUUGUGAUGAUGUACAUAACUGCAGACGGUGGAAGAACCGGAGGUGGGGGCAGACUUUAUUUAGAAAUUUUCGAGGUGUUUAUACUCAAUUUACCGGUCCUAUGUGUGGCUUAUAAUUUUUCUUUUACUUCAUUUCACAUUUUAUGUCAAUUUACGACUGUUAUGUUAUGUUUUUAGGUUUUUGUAAUUCUUACAAAUCUGAAGAUCAAUUUACCACUCCAACAUGAAUUUACUCAUUCUUCGGUUAAUUUACUAGUUUUAUGUGUGGUUUACAAUAUUUUUAUUUCAUUUCAUAUUUAAUGUCAAUUUACGCGUUCUAUGUCAUGUUUCUAAGUUUUUGUAAUUCCUACAAGUCUGAAGACCAAUUUACCACUCCGAGAUUAAUUUACCCAUUGUUCCAUCGAUUUACCAGUUCGAUGUGUGGUCUAUAAUUUUUUUGUUUCAGUUCACACUUAAUGUCAAUUUACGAGUUUUAUGUCAUGUUUCUAAGUUUUUGUAAUUCUUACGAGUCUGAAAACUAAUUUACCGCCACAACAUGAAUUUACCCUUUCUUCCAUCAAUUUACUAGUCCUAUGUGUGGUUUAUAAUUGUUUUGCUUCAUUUCACACUUAAUGUCAAUUUACAAGUUUUAUAUCAUGUUUUUAGGUUUUUGUAAUUCUUACAAGUCUAAAGAUCAAUUUACCACUCCAACAUGAAUUUACCCCUUCUUCGGUUAAUUUACUAGUCUUACGUGUGGUUUACAAUAUUUUUUUUCAUUUCACAUUUAAUGUCAAUUUACGAGUUUUAUGUCAUGUUUCUAAGUUUUUAUAAUUCUUACAAGUCUGAUUUAUAAUUUACCACUCCAACAUUAAUUUACCAUUUCUUUGGUUAAUUUACUAGUACUUUCCUCCUAAGACAAUGCCAUAUUAUCAAUAAUAAUAGUACUUUCCUCCUAAGAGGAUUUCAUAGUUGUUUACAUCCCACUAAAAAAUUAUUACAGUACUUUCCUCCAAUAGGAAUUCAUAAUUGUUUACAUGCUACUUAAGAUUACACAGCUCAGAAUACAAUGAAAGUUGAGUGAAGCAUCAUCACCCACAUAGAUAGAGUAAAUUAACAACAUUACCUCCUAGAGGAUUUGAUUGUUGUUUCAAUUUGCUACUUAAGCAAAACUUUCAAGUAGUACUUUUAUCCGUGCAUCGUUGUAAGCAAUUUUUGUGUCACUGCUAUCCACUGCAUAAGCUGAACCUUUUAAAUUUGCUACUUAAAGCAAAAUUCUCAAGUAGUUUUUCUAUCCAUGCAUCCUUGUAAGCAGUGUUUGUGUCACUACUAUCCACUGCUGAACCUCCUACUUGCUUCUGUCCAUGCAUCGUUGUAAGCAGUGUUUGUGUCAUUGCCACCCACUACAUAUGUAACACCCGUUCCUUGUUGGUUUUAAUUUAAUUUUGCUUAUCCAUUUAAUUGUUUAUCUUUUGUUUGUGCUAAUUUAUUUUAAUUAGCAUUAUUUGAGAUAAGUUAUAAUUCUUUUUGUUUGUUUAAAUAAAUUAUAAAGGAUUAUCAUCAUUAUCGUAUAAUGUAUUUUUAAAGAAGCAAGUAUUUUUUUAUAAAACUUAAACUCUUCCUAUCUCCCUACGAUUUAAAACGAUUUAACCUAAGAAACAUACAAAAGUAAAGAAUUCUAGGGUUUUCCUUUAUGCACGUUUGAAAGAAGUUUUGAGAUAAUUAUCCUUUUCUAAUACAUGUUCUCUGAUUUUAAUUGUUUGAUAAUGAAUGCAUGCAUUCUUCUCUUUAUCAUGAAUGACUAGCUAGGCAUUAUGAGGUAUGAGCAGUGUGUUUUGACUACUAUUUUUUAUUUGAUUUCUACAUGAAACUUUCCAUAAAAUUAAAAUAGACAUCCUAAGGUUUUCAAUGAUGUAUUUUGUGCAAAGAGAUUCCAAUUAACCAAUUUGUUGUGAAUUUUUGAAUUUGGAAUAGUGGUGCUGGAAAUUUUUUAUUUUCAGCAGCAUGUCUGACUUUGCUGAUUUUUCUGACUGUCCACAUGAUCUCUGAAAAUUAUUUUGAAUUGUUUUUAAUCCUCAUUAUGUCUAGUUACUGUAUGUUUAAUUUCAAAAUUUUUGUUAGGCUGCUGCAAUUCUAGAGACAGUUUUCCAAAAUUAUGAUAGUUGAUGGUAAAAUUAUUUUAGGCUGUUAAAAGGUUUUAGAAUGACUUAUGAAAAUUAUAUUCAUAUAAUAUUAUGAGUCCUCUAUGAUUUAAAGUUUAUUUAACUAAUUUUCAUUGAGUUAACAUUAAGUUAUGAAUUUUUGAAGUGCAAAACACAAACUUGAAAGUUUUUGGACAGGUUUUCUAGUCUUUUAAUAUGAAUUCGUUUAAAAUAAUUUUACAUCUUCAAAAAUUCUAGAAAUUUGAUAUAUUGUUUCUUGAUGUUUCUACUGUUGUAAAAUCAAGUGGUCUAAUUAAGCUACCUUUGUUUUUAGGGUUAUUAUCAUUUCACUAUUUCAAAAAUUAUCAAAUAUCAAAUGACUACAACAAAUAUUGUUUCCUAUCAUCUUCCUACUCUAUCUUUAUAAAAAUAUUAUUUUACUACUUUUCUGUUAUAACCGUUAGUUGACCAGUUAGUUGACUAACAAAAUAUCAAUUUCACCCUUCAUGAUUAAAAAAAAAAUCCUUGAAAUUUAUUUACAAAAUAAAUUUGUAAUAUAUUUAUUAAAAUGGUAUAUAAUACCAAGAUAAUUCUUUUUGCUGGAAUUAUGAUAUAUGGAUUACAAAUUUGUCUUAUUAUUUUUUGUAAUCAUGAAGGGUAAAAUUAGUAUUUUGUUAGUCAACUAACUGGUCAACUAACGGGUCAACUAACGGUUGUAAUGGAAAAGUAGUAAAAUGAUAUUUGUUGUAACAGAAAAGUAGUAAAAUGAUAUUUUUAUAAAGAUAUAGUAGGAAAAUGAUAGGAGAUAAUACUAGUUAUAGUCAUUUGAUAUUUGAUAAUUUUUAAAGUAGUAAAAUGAUAAUAACCCUUAUUUUUAUCACUGCUGAACAGUGUGGACAUUUGCAUGUAAAAUUCUGUUUGCAGUAUGUUUCUGACUUUUAUUUAUUUUUUUGAAUUUUUAUAUGAAAUGCUUUGCCUACUGCUUUAUCUCCUUCUUCCCUCUGAUUAUUGGGCUACACAUGUUUAUGGUUUCUUUUUCCUAAUUUUUAUAAUUUUCCGACAUAUGAUUAGCUUGGUAGAAAUCAACUUGUAUAGGAUGGUCAGGUUUAGACUAGCUUUGAUGGUUUAGUGCUUAUGACUAGGAUUGAUUAUGUUGGAUUUAUAUCAAGGUCAAAAUGAGCAAUAAUAUUAAUAAGAAUGUGUCUUGAUGUUUUAGGAUGAGAGUGAGCUCCUGGUUGAGGUUACAGUUCUUUUAUUGGUGAAGAUCGAGGUAAGUAAAUUCAUGCAUGGUACAUGUAUUUCAUUAUUAAAUUAUUUUUAAUUCAAGGUAUGUAUUAAGUUGAACGAAAGUAUAUAAAGCUGAUUUUGUUUAGUCUAUUACAAUGUUUUUUGUUUUUUAAAGUAAAAAUUAUUUAUAACAAAACUUUAUUUAUUAAAAACUUGUUUUAUAAAUUGUCUUGAAAAUGAAAGUUUUUAUUAAAUUGUUUUAAGUGAAAUACUUCAAAAUAAUUAUCAAUUAUUUAAAUGUAAUUUGUGGAAGCUUAUGAAUGGUUAAAGGUUCAAGGAUAGUUUUAAAUGAUUUGGCUCAUUGUUCAUAGUGAUGUUAUGUUAUAUUAUGUUAUGGAAGGCUAGCCGGAUUUUAUGCACAUAUAAUGUUAAUCUUAAUGAUUCCCGUCGGGUAAAGUACCUUGAAUGAUAUUAUAUGAUCAGGUCACCGCAUCUACAGGUGAUACUAUUUGGCGUGAGCUAAUUAUGUUUUUUGUGUUUAAAAUGUUUUUGUUAUGUUUAAAGGAUUUAAAUGGCUUUAUGAUGAUGUGAUUUAUUUUUACUGAAAGAUGAUUUGUAAAGGUAAUUUCUCUUAUUAUUAUGCAUUUCUAAGAAAUUUUAUUAAAUUAUAAUUUAAUGGUUUUUAGUAUUGUGCAUGAAUUUACCGAACGAGUUGACGGCUCACUACUCGUUAUCACAUUUUUGCAGAUAGAGUUAGAUGAUGUGAGCUCUUGGUCUUAGGAGGAAGAAUAAGAGUUCAAUUUCUUUUGGGGAUUAAUGUUACAUUGAUAAUCUAUGAAUAAUUUAGUUUCUUUUGAGAUGAUACUUAUUUACAUAUAUGUUAUUUCAUAACUUAUUUUAUUUUGGUGAUUUAGAACAUUUAUUAUUGGAUACUAUUUUGGUGGUUUUAGAAAUGAGAUUGAUGAAAUAAAGUUUCACUUCACUUUCACCUUAAUACAUUGUCAAUAGAAUUAGGGUGUUACAUAAGCUGAACCUUUUAAAUUUGCUACUGAGGCAAAAUUCUCAUUUCUAAGCAGUGUUUGUGUCACUUCUAUCUACUGCAUAAGCUGAAGCUUUUGAAUUUGCUGCUUAGAAAAUUCUCAAGUAGUUAUUUUAUCUAUGAAUCGUUCUAAGUAAUGAUUGUGUCAUUACUAUCUACUCCAUAGUAAGCAGUGAAUGGAGAGAAAAAGGGGAGGGGUUGAACAAAAAGUACUAAUUUAUUCACUCAGAAAAUUUUCUAAAACGACAAUAUUUGCCAGAUUCUAAUUUUAUUCGUGUUUCGAAUUAUUUUUUCAACUCACUUCCCUGUCCAGUAUGCGCCGAAAUUAUUAGUUAACUUUGUACAGUCAGCUUUCCAUUAGAGUGUCUCCUUGGAGAGGAAGUUAUUUGUCUCAACCUUGUGCUUUUCUUUCGCUGUCUCCUGUUUUAAAGAUGGCUAACGGCCGUUCCGCCCGUCAAAGCGAAGCCCACGAGGGCUUAUGGACCGGCACGGUAUAGCCCACCAUGUGAAUGGGCCAUGUCAUCUCGUGCCUAAAUUUUUUUUGCUAGGCCUGGCACGGCCCAUGGCACAAACCCACGUGUGUCGUGUUCGUGCCAUGCCCAUAAAAACCUAUCAACUUUUUUUCCUUUUCCUUAAAGGGCGUGCCGAUUCACUACUAAUAAUAAUAAUAAUAAAAUUUUAUUAAGGGAACCAUUAACAUUUCGUUAACACAAUUAUACAAUAAUAUUAUUUAAUUACGCAAUAACGAAUUAUAAUACAAUAAUACAUAAAUCUAAUUUUGUAGAUUAUAAUAUUGAUUAAUAAAAACUUAAAAUUACAAUCCUGAAAUAACGAUUACAAGAAGUCAUAACUACGAGAUAUCAUUUAUAAUAAGUUGUAAAAUUUUAUAUUUAUCAUUUUAUAAAAUUUUGAUAUUUAUAAUAUUAUUAAUUAAAAUAAUGAUAUUUAUAAUAUUAUUAAUUAAAAUAAUGAUAUCAUUUAUUCAUUUGAUAAAUUAUAAGCAUAAACCAAUUAGAAUUUUUUUUAAAACUAAGAUUUAAAUUAAUUUUAAAAAAAUAACACUAAUAAAAUAUAUUAAAAGUUUAAUUUCAAGUUAUUUAUAAAAUCAUAACAUUUUAUAUUUACUUUUUAUGGAAAGAAAUUUAAUUUGAUAUACUUUGGCUUACAUGUUAUUGAUGGCCUCAUGGGUUGCAUGCUAAUCCACUAAUAAAGCAUGCUUAUUAUAUGCCUCGUCACUUGUCGUGUCUUAGCCUAUCUUUAAUUGUGCUGUACUUUUAAGGCCCACGUGCCUAAAAUUCUAAGCACCGGCCAGCUCGUAUGCGUGUCGUGCUGUGUCGUGUGGUGUGUCAUACCAAAACGUGCUCGUGCUUGUGCCGUACUGUAUGAACAUGUGUCCUGCAUGUGCCAUGGCAUGUGCAGCCCCGUCCAUUAGCCAUCUCUAUUUAGAGCAAUGACAUUUGAUAUAAUUUAUCAUAUUACUAUUCAAAAUUCUCUUUGUUAAAAAUAAAAAUUUAGGGGAAAAACUCUUUCACCCGUGAGGUUUGAUUUAAUAGUUCAUUUCAUUUUUAUUUUCUAAACAAUAGCUAAUUUUAUCCAUACUUUUCAAACAAUAGCCUAAAAUACAUUUCCGUGAGUUUAUAGUUAGUCUACUGUAUUUUAUAUUGAGGAAAAAAAUAGGAUUUUCAAUUAAAUAAAUGCAAACUAUUUUAAAAUAAAAACAUAACAACAAUUAAAUAACAUAUGCCUUUUUACAUAAAUUUAAAAUUGAAGAAUAACUUAAUAAAACAAAAAUAACACAAAAGAUACAAGGGAAAUGCUUCACCAAAGAACACUCUUUGAUAAUCACACGAUUAAAGUUAUAAUAUAUUUUUAAUUAUUUAUUACUUUGAUUGUGUGACUAUAAAGGAGUGCUCUGCAGUAGAGCAUCUCCAACAUAACCAUAUAUAUACAGUAGUUUUCUAGUCAGGGAUUUUAAAGGAAAGUCCGGGAAAGCUUUAAAAUUGCACGGCUUUAAAGGCUUACAGUUUUAAGCCUUUAAAAUCAUGCGGUUUUAAAGUUUUACCGCACUUUAAAAUUUCGAACUGGAACAUUUCUCUCUCUCUCUCUCUCUCUCUCUCUCUCUCUAUAUAUAUAUAUAUAUAUAUAUAUAUAUUAUAAAAAUAAAAAAUAAUUAUUUUCAAUCAAUUAUAACUGACCAUAUUAAAGUCAAAAUAAGCGAAAAGAUAAAAAAUUACACAUUGUAAUAUAUUAAAGUUAAGUAAUGCAGCGUUGUAUUGUAUUAAAUCUGUGUUUUUAUGUCUUUACUUAUUUUUUCAAAUUUUUUAAAAGUUGUUGUAAACUUGAAAUUAGUUAAUAAUAAUCAAGUUAUUAUAAUCAACAAUGAAUUAAAGAACAUAAAUAUUUCAAAAAUAAAAUAAUAAAUAAAGAAAAUGAAGCAAAUAAAAGUUUAGAGAUUUAGUUUUUUUUUUUACUGGAUUCUCUAAUUCACGGACUCUCUUAAUUAAUUAAUACUUAAAAUAAAAGAAAGUUUAGUAUUAUAAUUUUAAGUAGGACUGGGCAAACGGUUCGGUUUUUAACGAACCGAACCGAACCGAACCGAAAAAACUUAAUUCGGUUCGGUUCGGUUCUAAGGUAAAAAACCGAAUGGUUUGAAAUUUCAAGAACCGAUUGGUUUACAUUCGGUUCGGUUCAAAACCGAACCGAACCGAAGAACCGAUCGGUUCAGACCAAUUAUUUACAAAUUAAUUUAAUCAAAAUUCAAAAUCAAAAAUAUAAAAUGCUAAAUCACAAAUUCCCUUUCUAAUUCCUAAUUUCGUAACCCUAAUUCCUAAACCUACAGUCCAAAAUCCAGCUCUCUCCCUCGUCGGAUCGGUGACUCGCGGCCUCUCCCUGGGUCCCUUGCAUCACGGUCAGCGGUGGCACAUCUCUUCAAGCGUGGUGACGCCGUCAAAGCCGUCGGUCCCUCACGGUUUCAAGCGUUUAGUAGCUCGGUGCCUCGGUCCCUCACGCUCACCGUCGAAGGCUCAAAGCCCUCAGUCCCUUACGCUCACUGUCUUCAAGCGUGGUGACGCCGUCAAAGCCCUCGUUCCCUCACGCUCACACUCACGGUUUCACGCCGCUCGUCUUCGGGCCUCACUGCUCUAACCGCCACUCAUCACUCACUGCUGCAAGUUAAUCUUCACUACUGCAGGUUAUUUUUUUUAAUUUAUGUUGUGGCAGUCUGAAAUUGUGUUUGAAUUUGUGGAGGUGUUUGUGGAACUGGAGGUGUUGGUUGCUGGCAGUCUGGCAGUCCGAAAUUGUAAAGUCAAAGGAGUACAUUGCUUUGUGUAUUUGUGAAAAUGUUUAUGAAAUUGGUUGCUGGCAGUCUGGAGGUGUUGUUUGUGAAAUUGUAAAGUCACUGAAAAUGUUUGGUAUGUCCUGAGAGUAAUAAAGAUUUAUGUAAAUUUACAGGACAUUCUGAAAAUUGUAAGUAAUAAAGAUUUUGUAAAGUCACUGAAAAUUGUAAAGUUUGGCAGUUUGGAGGUGUUGUAUUUUUUUACAUUGCUUUCGGAAUUGUACAUUGCUCAUUAAAAGAAAUCUGAAAAUUGUGAAAAUGUUUGUGAAAAUUGUGCAUUGCUUUCGGAAUUUUUGUGGAGGUGUUGGUGUAUAGUUGUUGUAACCAAAUGAAAUCUGACCCUACAGCAAGGAAAAAUCAAAAGAUGCAUGAUCUUAGUUUAAUUGCCAGAGAUAUAUUAAUUAUGGAGUAAAGAUAGUCCAACUGAUACAUUAUGCAGAAUUGUUACGUAAUGAAGAAAAUGUAAGCAAACAAAACCUGACCUUGAAGCAAAGAAAAAUCAAAAUAAGUGUGAUCUUAGUGAUAUUGCGCAUUAAAAGAGUAUCCAGGAAACAACCAGAAUUUGGAAUUUUCGUGUUUCUAUUUAAUUAUGUCUCAAUUGAAAAGUAAUUUAUUUGCAUGCAUGAUUGAGUUAUUUAGCUGUGUUUUCUGGUAUUGCGCAUUAAAGUUGUUGUUUCAAUUUUUUUCAUUGUUUAUUUCUUUUUAUUUGAUUUAUUUUAGAUGUCUAAUUAUUCAAGAGUUCAAGACAACCUUGAUUGUGUAGCCGAUGAUUUUGAGCAUGAAGUUGAAUUUAAUGAUAAUGAAAAUGAUUCGGCAACAAUUGUCACCGGUGGAAACAAGCGGAAAAAGUCAUCGUCAUCCAAACCACCACUACCAAGGAAAAAAAUGGCUCCAAGAUCAACAGUGUGGCAACAUUUCACUAGAGUUCCAAAUGAUCAUACAAAGUGUAAAUGCAACUACUGUGGUCAAGAAUUUGAAUGUGGGACGGUCGGGUACGAGACUAGCACUUUGAGAACUCACAACCGUGAAAGAUGUCAAAAGUUCAAGGACUUGCAAAAAAGCCAAACAACAUUAACUCAAGAUGUUGGUAGUGAUGAAGUUGUAGCAAGAGGAUUUAGCCAAGAAGCUUGUAGACGGGCAACUAUGAAAAUGAUUGUUCUUGAUGAGUUGCCUUUUUCUGUUGUGGAGAAUCCGGGUUUUAGGCAUUUUUGUAGUGUUGCAGCUCCGAGAUAUCUUCUCCCAUCACGAAGAACCAUUAGUAGAGAUACUCUUGAGAUGUAUUUAGAGGAAAAGGCUAAGUUGAAGAGUUUAUUGGUGGGGAAUAAGCAAAGAGUAUCUUUGACCACAUAUAUUUGGACUUCCAUUACAACAGCUAGCUACAUGGUCAUCACCGCUCACUUUAUUGAUAGAGAUUGGAACUUACAUAGGAAGAUUAUCAGUUUUAACACUGUUAAUGAUCAUUCAUCGGAGACCAUUGGUAAGCAGCUUGAAAAAUGUUUAAUUGACUGGGGUAUCGAGCGAGUGUUUACUGUAACUGUUGACAAUGCAAGUCCAAAUGAGGGUGCUCUUAGGUACUUGAUAGAUAGAGUGAAGACUUGGAGGGAUGAUAGCUUGGUGUUGAAUGAAGAUUAUUUGCAUGUUCGUUGCUGUGCACACAUAUUGAAUUUGAUCGUUACUGAAGGGUUGAAGGAAUUAGAGCAGAGUAUAGUUAGUGUUCGGAAUGCGGUGAAGUAUAUGAGAUCUUCCACUGCUAGAAUGCAAGCAUUUCAAAUUCGUGUGCAACAAGAGAAGAUUAAUUGCCGAGGAAGUGUGAUUUUAGAUUGUCCCACUAGGUGGAAUUCUACAUAUUCCAUGUUGAAUACAUCAUUAAAAUUUAAGCCGGCAUUUGAUCGAAUGGCACUUGAAGAUAAGCUUUAUGAUGCUUAUUUCAAUGAAAAAGAGGGUGGGAAGAAGAAAAGGGAGGGGCCGCCAUUGUACAGUGAUUGGGAAAAUACUCGACGCAUAGUCAAGUUUUUAAAGACGUUUCAUGAUGCGACUUUGCAGUUUUCUUCAUCUUUGAAGAUAACAUCAAAUCUUUAUAUUUUGUUUUUAAUUUUUGAAUACGAAAGACAAUUAAAAAAAAGAAAUUUUAUAAGCUCUAUUGUUUUUAAUUUAUGAUAGAUAAUAAUAUGAUGAAGUUUAUUUUAGCUUUAAUAACAUUUUUUUUUAGGUGACAUCAAAUAUUUGUUACAAUUUGAUAUGUCAAAUUGAACAAUCUUUGGGAUCAUUGUCCGCUAGUAACGAUAGUCUUUUGGGUUUCAUGGCAAUUAAAAUGAAGGAAAAAUUUAAUAAGUAUUGGGAUGGUUGUUUCAAAAUAAAUAAGUUGUUGAUUGUUGCUUCCGUACUUGAUCCAAGGGGAAAAAUGAAAUUCGCAACACAUUGCUUUGAGAAAUUAUAUGGCAAGGAUAGUGCCAAAUGUGUUGAGAUGAAGGAAAUGAUCAAGAAUUUGUUGAUUAAGCUUUAUGAGUCUUAUAAUGCACAAUACAAACCGGGUGGAAGUGGGAGUGCAAGUGGAAGUGCAAGCGGAAGCACAAGCGGGAGCCAAAAUUUAGCUAGUGGAAGUGGUUCGAAUUUUUGGGAUUUGGGUGAUGAUGAUGAUGUUAUGAUUGAGGAUCCUUUCUCCGAAUUUAGUAAAGCGGUUGCGGUUAGUGAAGGUAGCCCGGAGUUAUCAAAUGAGUUGGAUCUUUACUUGAUGGAGAAGACUGAAAAAAUUACAAAAAGUAAUUUGAGCACUAAAUUUGAUAUUUUAUUAUGGUGGAGGGUGAAUAGUGCUAAUUACCCAAUAUUGUCAAGUAUAGCAAGGGAUGUUCUUGCUAUUCCGGUGUCUACUGUUGCCUCUGAGUCUGCCUUUAGUACUGAAGGUCGUAUACUAGAUCAGUAUAGAAGCUCUUUGACUCCAGACAUGGUGGAAGCAUUGGUAUUGUUACAGAAUUGGUUGCGAACUUCUCUUUUCGUGGAUACAACGGCGGACCUAAAUAAAUUAGUUGAAGAUAAUGAGUUUAUGGAUCAACUUGCGGAAGGUAUAUUUUACUUUUUAAGUAUUAUCAACAUUAUAUAAUUUGUUUAAUUUUAAUCUAAGUUUAUUUUUUUAGUAUUACUAACCUUGUUCAAUUUGUCCAAUUUUUGUAUGUAGAACUUCGCAAAUCAACAACGGCCGACCAACUUUGUAGGUCAAUAUGAAAAUUGCAGUUGAACAUAAACCAUUUUAGGUAAUUAAAUUGAUACAUAUAUAUAUAUAUAUAUAUUUAUUUAUUUAUUUAUUUAUUUAUUUAUUUAUUAAUUAAUUAUUAAAUUUAAUUAGUUUAAAUUUAAUUAUUGAGUGCUUUGUCUCACUUUGAAAGUUUGAAUUUUGAUGUAGGUGAUGUGGGUGGCGAAUGAAAUUGUUGCUUGUGUAUUGAAGUUGAAGGCUUCUCUUAUUUUGUUUUGUUUAGACUUUAGAGUAUGGGUUUUCAUGUAGAUGAUGUGCGUGGCGGAUGAUGUGGGUAUUUGAAGUUGGUGCUUGUGUAUUACAACUUGUUGUGUUUUAUUUUUCUUAUUAUGAACUUAUAAUUUGUAAUAGAAUUUAGGUGUGUUUUGUUAACAUAAAUAUGUUAAUAAUAUUGAUUUUGAUGAUAACAAAUUUUAAAUGUAUUUUGACAAAAAUAUUGGAGCUAUUUCUUAAUAAAUGAAAACCUUUUUAAUCAUUGCCUUAUUUCUUCAUAAAAGAUGGAUUCUCAAAUUAGAAAGAAAUUCUCUGCAAAAACUUCUUUAAAAUUGCAAUUCUGGUCAUAAACGGUGAACCGUUUAUUUUAAACGGUUAACCGAUUAAAGGCAGAGAGUAACACAUUUCCUAAACCUCUAACCGUUUAUGGAAAACGGAAAACACAAUAGAUAGGGAGGUUACUGGAAAUUAACGGUAAACCGUUUGCUCUUAAACGGUUAACCGAUUAUCACCAGAGAGCAACAUAUUUGCCUAAGCUCUAGCCGUUUAUGCUUAACGGAAAACACCCAAGAUGGGAAGGCUACUGGAAACUAACGGUGAACCGUUUAUUUUUAACCGGUUAACCGAUAACGUCCACAAUUGAAGGUUGUCCUCCUAUGGCAUUGAUUAAUGAAAACGGAUUAGCUGAUGUUCAUUGUGCAGGUUACUGGAGACAAACGGCUAACCGUUUAUUGCAAACGGUUCACCGAUAAUAUCCAUAAACAUUACUUCAUGCAAGGCCUUAACCGUUUAGUGUAAACGGAUACCCAAUGCUCAUCUUACAGGCCUCUGGAAGUUAACGGCGAAAGGACAAUCCUAAACGGCAAACCGUUUAUUUGAAAUCUGGCCCAACGGUAACUUUGACCAGCCUAAACGGUUAACCGUUAAUGGUUAACGGCGAACCGUUUUCUGUCCGACAGUUUGCAACGGCAAGAUUUUCAGCUCCAAGUAUAAAUAAGCUCAUUCAAAUUCAAAGAAGGUUGAUCACAACACAACCAUUUGAGCUAAUAUUCGAGAAUACAAUCUUCAUAGAGCUUAGAACACAUUCUUGCUUCAUCUAUUCACAUAUUAAGCAUCAUUGAGUAAUCUUAUAUAUUGUGAGAGGCAAAACAAUUUGUAAUCUUUUACUUUGAGUGAUUGUAACUUGUAAGUGUUGGGAUACACUUGGGUUAAGAGAUUGGGGAUAAUCUCUUGUUGUAAAGGUCCAUUGACACCUUGGAAGUCAAGUGUAAGCAUUUGAAGCCUUGGAGGCUUGCUUAGUGGAAUCCUCAAGCCCGGAAAGCUUGGAGGCGUGGACGUAGGCGAGGUUAGCCGAACCACGUAAAAAUCUCGUAUUUGAAUCUUUCUUCCCUUAUCUUUUUAUAUUGUGAUCAUCUUAAUUGUUAUUGCUUUGAAUUUGAGUCAUAAUUACAUUAAGUUUUUCUUUAAUAUUGAAUAAUUUUUUAGAAUCCCAAUUCACCCCCCCUCUUGGGUUGCAUACUUGUAUUUCAUGUUUUUGAAUUGUGAUUAUUUUGAAUUGCGAACCAAACCAAACCGAACCAAACCGAACCGAAUUGUAGAACCGAACCAAACCAAACCAAACCAAACCAAACCGAAUUGUAGAACCGAACCGAACCGAAAUAUUUCGGUUCGGUUCGGUUUGGUUCUACAAUUCGGUUCGUGUUCGGUUUGAGUUUUUUAGAACCGAUUGGUUCCGGUUCGGUUCGGUUCGGAGCCCGAACUGAACCGAACCGGAAAAUGCCCACCCCUAAUUUUAAGUAUUUUGAUUUAUUAUUGAUAUAUGAAUUAUGCAUUCAAGCUUUCUUUUUUUCCAUUAUUUUUCAAAUUUGAAUUUAUUAUUCUAAUUUAUAAAUUUAUUUCUUUAAAAAAAUAGAGGGUUUUAGCUUGGCCCGGACUUUUUUUCCUAAGUCCUUGUCUAGGCCCUCAUGCGGGAGGCCUGGGCUAAAGCCUGUAGGAAUGGACAGAGCCGGCCCGGGCUUUUUUGCCAUCCCUAGUUUUUUUAAGUUAAUAAAGGAUUUUAUGUUAACUUUUGGUAAAAUAAUAGUUUUGAUUGAUUACUUAUUUAUUUAUCUUGACCAUAUUGAAGUCAAAGACAAACUAAGGUACCAAAAAAAAAAAAAUCAUUCUAGUGCUUAUGAAAUCUAUAUAUAUAUUUUUUUUUGUCCGAAAUAUAUAUUUUACAUAUUAUUUAGUUUUAUUAUUGUUUAUUCAUUAAAUUAUCCUUCAAUUUUAAUUUUCUAUGUUAUUUAAUUGUGUUUGGGAGUUUUCUUUUGAAAUAGUUUUUAUAUCCUUAAUUGAAAAUUCUAUUUUACUCGCAAUGAUUUGUAUUGUAAACCAAUGAUAAAUUAACAUAAGGGUGUUUAGAGCUAUUGUUUAAAAAGUAGGGAUCAAGUUAGCUGUUAUUUAAAUAAUAAAGAUGAAAUGAACUAUUGUAUCAAACUUUAAGGGUGGAAAGGACUUUUUCCUAGAAAUUAAUUUUUACUUUGUUUUAUUAUUAAGUGAUGAUACAGUCACAAACUGAUGUGGCAUUAAUUUAUUGGUUGAAUAAAAAUAUAAAAUAAUAGAAAUAAAUCAUGUGGGCCAAGAGAUAUUUAAUUCAACAAAUUUUAUCGUGCCACAUCAAUUUGUAUAAGAUAAGUUUGUACAAAAAUUUGUGACUAUAUUAUUACUCUUUAUUAUUACUCCUCACCUCCUGUCUCUCUCUAGCAUAACUAUUAUGCCCAUCAUUUAUCUUCAUCAGCAAUAAGCUCAUUAUCACCACCUACUUUGUUUCCCAUCAAUCUAUAUAAUUACCUCCACCAAUAAAUGAUGAUCUUCAAUAUUUUUGUUAAAUUUUAUGAACAUGUGGUGAGUUUUACUUAGGGAUGGUAAUGGGCACCGUCUUUGUCAUUACCAAACCCAAACUCUCACAAACUUUAAAUUACUAAACCUACCUGCAACUCACUGUAGGUUUUAAUUUUUUUAAGAAAAUCCACCCACUGCGAGUUUUGAUAAUUACUAAACCCACAAUAGUACCUAGCUGUUUUUUUUGCAGGUUUUCACAUUAAAAAUCACAAGUGUUUAAUAUGUAAAUUUAUAAUAAUAACCUAAAAUUCCACAUAACAUCUCAAUUCUAAAUUUAACUAACGUAAAUAGAAAAUUAAAAUUUCAAAAUUAAUUCUACACAAAUUCUCAAAUUUAAGUAUAAAAUAUACAAAUCCUAGGGGUGGGCAAAAUCGAGUUCGGAUCGGGUUCGGAUCAACCCGAUCGGAUUUCGGGUUCAUCGGGUUGGAGAGAAACUCAUCCGAACUCAACCCGAAUUUUAGAUCGGAUCGGAUCGGAUCGGGUUAUAUUCGGGUCGGGUCGGAUCGGAUCUAAAAUUGGGAUCAAUUUCGGGUCAAUUCGGGUUAAGGACAAAAAAGAGUCAUUUGUGUUAAUUUUGGGUUGUUUAAUAAUUAUUUAAUAAUUACAAGAUCACUUUUAUGCAAUUAGUUCAUUUUAGUCCAUUUCCACUUUCCAGUGACUGUCAUAAAAAAAAAAUAAACUGAAAUAGAAUUGAAAAAGUUGUGAGCUUGGAGGACUUGGUGUCAUGAAUCUCAGUCUCGGUCUCGUUGGAAGAACAACCAUGGAUCGCUUCGCGCGGGUCAAGCAGCAGCCGAUGGAUCAAGCGGCAACGGGUUUCGUCAAUGGCUCAUGGCUUCACGGGUUUUGUCGGUGGCUACCAGAAAAGCAGAUCCGAUCGAAGUGAAGUGCAGCAACCGUCGAUGCAGCAGCAAGCAGAUCCUAUCGUCAGUGCAGCAGAUCUGGUCGAGUGGUGUGCUGCAUGUGGCCCGCUGCUGUGCUAACCGUCUGUAGUUUUGUUGCGAGAAAGAAGAGAAAGAAGACAAUGAAGAGAAAAAAAGAGAGUUGUUUGUGUGAGUUGUGAGAAAGAAGAGAAAGAAGAGAGUGAAGAGAAAGAACACGGAGAGUGAGAAAGAAGAGAAAGAAGAGAAAGAAGAGAGUGAAGAGAAAGAACACGGAGAGUGAGAAAGAAGAGAAAGAAGAGAGUGAAGAGAAAGAUUUAGGUUUUUUUAGGUUGUUUGUGUGUGGCGUGUGUGUUUAGAUUUAGGUUUUUUUGUUUUUAAAGCAACCCGAUCGGGUUUGCGGAUCGGAUCGGAUUUGACCCGAUCCGAUCACAACCCGAUCGGGUUUCACCAUCUUCAUCCGAUCGGGUUUCCUUUAUAACCCGAUCCGAUCCGAAUCCGAAAUUUUUUGAAUCGGGUCGGAUCGGAUCGGGUCGGGUCGGAUAUUUUGCCCACCCCUAACAAAUCCAUUAAAAAAAAGUCACAAACUAGUAUCUAAAAAUAACAAUUAUCAUUUCAUGUUAUUAUUCAACACAAGCUCCAAGAGAAUAUCUUCAUUUUAUUCACCACUAUUAGCACCCAUCCAACACAAUUCCUACAAUAAUAAUUAAAAUUAAUAUUUUCUAAAGAAUAAUACCUUUUAAAUACUAAUCUAAAGAAUAAAAUUAUAAUAUUGAAAUAAUCCAUGCAUUAAGUUAAAGAAUAAUAAUCCAUACAAAAUUACAAUAAGUAAGCAAUAAUCUAUGCAUUGAAUUAAAGCAUGUUAGGACUUAGACACGUUGCAACUUGCAAAUAUGUUUGUACUUUACAUUAUUUACUUUAUAUAUUUUUAUAUUUAAAUAUUUUUAAUUAAAAAUAUUAUUAAAAAAAGCUACGUGUUGGCGGAUACCCAUGUGGGUAUCCAUCGAAUAUGUGGCUACUACCAAACUUUCCCGCAACCUAGUGCGUGUUUUAAUUUAUAAUACCAAACCCACCCGCAAUCUGCAAAAUUAUCUCCAUUGAAUAGGUUUGGGCGGGUUUACGGAUACCAUUGCCAUCCCUACUUUUAUUGUUAUUGAUGAUAUUGAUUUUGCUUUAUGUGAUAAUCUAAGAUUUCUUUUAAUUUCAAUUUAGUAUUUUAUUAAAAGUUAAUAUUUGAUUUAAAUUUUGAAUCAAUUAAAAAAAAGAGAGAGCUGAGAAGUUAAUAUAUUGAGAGAAGAUAAAAUAUUUAUAUUUUAUUUUUCAAUAAAGACAAUUCUAGAAGAAAUAACAUUAAAUAAAAAGUGAGGGCCAAUGAAAUAUAUUGAGGGGUCACAUUGAAGAAAAUUCUGCUCCAUAUCCUCCCAAUUUCAAGAAUUGCACCCAUAUUUCCACACCCCUAGCAGUAAUUUAGUGGACUGAACAUUGUUACCAUAUGUAACAUCUGAUAGCCAAUUAGCAUGUGCUUAUAGUCCACCAUAAAACAUGUAACUCGUCUUAAGCCGAUUUAAUAUUUUUUUUAGCAACAAUUUCUUGGAAAAUGCUCCCCAAACUAGGUUGAGUUAUUUUUAAGUAAUUAUAUUUAGCUGACCACUCGAGUUAAAAUUAUGAGAAAGAGGUAAAAGUUAGAAAACUUUAUUUGAACUUUAUAUAUAUCUCUCCAUCUUAAAUUUAUAUUGUGUAUUAGUGUAUAUUCUUCUAAAUACAUUAACCUCAAAAUUGAAAAAUAAAUUUUAUUUUGUAAAGAAAAAUACCUACUACAACAUAAUUCUUAAUACAAACUGAAAAUUUGAAAAUUAGUUGAUAAUGCAGAAACCCCGAUCAAAUUUCUUUAACUUUCGUGGAUAUUUGUUGACAAUAAUUAAUGGAUAAAUAUAAGUUUUCAAAAAGAAAAAAAAAAGAAGAGAUAAAGGUAAAAGUAUGGCACGCUGCCCAAGUAGUUUAAGACCCCACGAUGCGACUACCAUUUUUCUGUUUUUAUUCCUUCUCUGCAUGUUUGGUUUGAAGAAACAAAAGUAAAAAAAAGGAGAAGAAAGGAAGAGAGGCCAAAGAAAUAAAGGAGAAAGAUAAAUUUCUUAUUUAAUGAAAUUAACCUUCAUUUUCACUCAUUUUCUUUCUCUAUUUGUUUUUUUUCAUUCCUCCCCUCUCCUGCUAUUUCUUCCAACCAAACAUGACAGUUACAUUUGACCUUCUUUGCUCCCUCACAAAGAUGUGCCCUUUUACAAGUAGUAAUUUGCUCGUAUUGGAUAGUGAGAUUCCGGUGUUCCACAUUUCCACAUAUGAUCGACUAGAACCCAAAACGAACUAAAGACGAAGAAACUUGACCUUAUGCUACACAUAGAUGCUAGAUACAGACCAAAUGAAGCAUCCAAUUAGUCUAAACGGCAAUCAUAUUUGUAUUUAAUGAGCCUCAAAGAUUAAUGGACAAUAUCACAUUAUCAAUAAUAACAGUACUUUCCUCCUAAGAGGAUUUCAUAGUUGUUUACAUGCUACUUAAAAUUACAGUACUUUCCUCCUAAGAGGUUUUCAUAGUUGUUUACAUGAUACUUAAAAUUACAGUACUUUCCUCAUUUUAUAGUUGUUACAUGCGACAUAAUAUUACAGUACUUUCCUCCUAGAGGAUUUAAUAGUUGUUUAUAUGCUACUUAAGAUUACAGAGUUCAGAAUAUAAUAAAACAUGAGCGAAGCAUCAUCACCCAUAUAGAUACAAAGCAGUAAAUUAACAAUAUUACCUCUAAGAGGAUUUGUUUGUUGUUUUAAAUUUGCUACUUAAACAAAAUUCUCAAGUUUUUCUUUUAUCCAUGUAUCGUUGUAAGCAGUGUUUGUAUCACUGCUAUCCUCUGCAUACGCUAAAGCUUCGCCAUCAGUCUUUGAUGGGUUAAAGUAGGGGUAAGGGUUUUACCAGUCUCUUCGCGAGAGUUUUCAUCCAGUAAAGCCCUCAGGGAAUGGAUCAGGUUAUUUACCUGCUCAUCACUGAAAAUUUGGCAAUCAGAAAUAUCACAAUCAUCAAUAGAACUAUUUGAAUAAUUUAAUUCUUGUUCUUGAGAAAUUGGUGUCUGCACUGCAGAAGAAGAGGCGUCAUUUGGCCUAUUAUUUCCAGCAAAAUUAUGCGUCACCGAAUGGUGACCUGGUGGCAGCUGCGAAUCCAAAUUGCUAUUUGGUGGCAGCUGGGGGUUUGUGAGACUAUUUUCUUUAAUUGGAUUUCCUAAAUGAGAAAUCAUAUUGUGAUAUGGCUGUGGCUGCUGAGUAGGAGGAUAAUUGGUUAUUACCCAAUUGUUUGUGAGAGAGUACAUAUUUUUUUCAACGCGAUUUCCAAGAUAAGAAAUCGAAUUGUGAUUUGGUGGUCGCUGUGGGUAUUUGAGAGUAGUUUCUUCACUAUGAUUUUGUAGUAGCGGCUGGUUUGUGGGAAUAUUUUCACCAUUAUGAUCUCUCUUAGAAAUCAAAUGCUUACUUACUGAUAGCCGAGUUGGGGUGUCAUUUGUUAUUGACUGGUAUAUAGUGUUUUGUACGGUAGGAAAGGAACUGGAAUUGUGAUUUUGUAGUUGCGGCUGAGGGAUAGUGUGAGUGUUUUGUUCACUGUGAUAUCCAUUCGAAAUCGAAUGGUCACUAGGUGAUUGCUGAGGUGGAGAAACCAAUUGUUCACUUGAUUCCCCUUCAUCAGUAGUCGAAAUACCAUCCUUCCUCCUCUUAUUGCGUUUUCUUUGAAUGCGACAGAAAACGAAUUCCCUCUACAUGAAUUAAAGGCAAAACCAAAAUAAGGAAUAAUGCACUAUCAAUUAAUUUUCAGAUAUUCGUUAGCACUGCCAGAAUUUCUACUGUCCAGACAAGAACAGAUUCAUUCAUCAAGUCAUGCAAAUGCCCUGAUGAAAUUUUAAGACUGCCUGGUUAACUAAUCCUAUUAUAUAUCUCCAAUAGACACAAUAAUCUAGCAUUGCUUCACCAAUUAAUCACUUCAAUCAUCAAGAGAAGAGCCAGCCUUAUUAUUAUAUAUCCAAAGAUAUAACAAUGCAUAAAAGAAAUGAACUUUCAAGUGAGUAACAUAAACAAAUUAGGCUCAUACCUCAUAACUGGGAUCGUCCUUGACAUGGUACUCGUGCAUAACCCAGUCGGUCUUAGCUGCUGCCUUAGAACAAGAACUACGACGGUAGAAAGUCAAAAACUUUUUGGUGCCAGUAAGGCCAUUUCUAGCUUCGAUCUGAGAAUCUCUACUAGUAAUUGUCCAGUGCCCUGCUUCUGUUUUUCUGUGGGCACGGUUACUCUCCCUGUACUUGUAAUAAGGUUCAUAGAAAAAGUACCAAACUUGAUCCUCUGUCUCAGUUUUUGAUUCCACUGCAUCACAAAAAUACAUGUUGCGGGUCAGUUAGUUGAGUUGGGAAAAUCUUUCAGUAGAGGAGCUUAGAGAGAAAAAUGAAAGAAAAAAAAAAAUUACAGAUGCAUACUUGCUAAGUCCCAUGGCUCAAGGCUGCAGAUAUGACCAAUGUCCUUGAUAGGAUGGUGUGCGAAAUGGGGGUCAAGCCUCUUCUCCUUCAGAAAAUGGAUGAUUAGCUGAUCUGAUGGCUGGAAUUUGAACCCCAAUUGACUCUCCAUUUCAGUUUUUUUUUUUUUUUGGGACAAUAAAAGGAACUACAAAGGAAAAUGAGAGUAGAAACCACUUCGUCAAUAGCUCGUAGGGACCUGAUGAAACCUCCGUAGACUCUCUCCUCUCUCUCUCUCUCUCUCUCCCCCUCCCUCUCUCUCUCUCUCUCCCUCUUGUUUGAUGGGAAGAAUUUGCGGUAUGAGAAAGAAUUGAGUUUGUGUGGGGGGUGAUCGUGUUACUUUAUACGAUCAAAAAUAAAGGCAUUAGCUCUACGUUCCCAUUACGCGUUGUGCUACAGUGAGACAAGUUUCGGUUGCUUCUCCAACGGUGUUAACUCCACAUUCUCACAACUUUUGAGUAGACUAAAGGAUCAAUUUGCUUGAAGGCCAGUCAAUAAGCUAAGUAACAAAAAUAACAUGGAAAAUUAUAAAAAGUAUCACCUUCUUACCCACAUAGUUUUGAGACAUUAGACCCUACCAUCAUCCUCUUAUUGGUUCAGCCCCAUCAUCCUCAUCCGCUUACUACUGUCUAGUGAUAUUUAAACACUGAAAUUUAAAUUGAAAAAAUUUGACAAAACACUGAUAAAAUAAAUUAUCACACUUCAUACUAUAAAAUCACAUAUCAUUAAAGUUCAUUUUGUCAACGUUUCAUUUUAGCAUCUUUAACAUUUUUCCUGACCUUAUUUAAAAAAAAAAAAAACUUUAUAAAAUGACAACAGAAUAACCGUUAAAACUAUAUAGAAUAAUUGUUAAUUAUAAAAAUAAUGAAAAACGGGUACUAUUAAUUAAAAAAUAAUAAUUAGAAAAAACUGUUAACAUUAUCAUAGUAUUUAUUAAGGUUAUUUGACUAAGGAGAAAUUCUAGAAUCUUCUACUACUUUCAAUCCCUUCCACUGUAAUUUCAUUAUUUUAAUUUUUACUGAUGAACAGUAAGUACUGUGAUGAUGUGCAAAAUUUCCGACAGAAUGGAAGAGCCGAAGAGCCAGAGGUGGGGGCAAAUUUUAUUUAGCUAGGAAUUUUUAUUUUUAGUAAGUGUUCAUAUUUAAUUUUGGGCUUAAUGUGCUGGUUUUGAUGAUUAAAAUGUAAUUUGUGUAUUUUUUUUGUUAUUUAUAAAUUUUAUUGGGGGCAAAUAAAAAACUUGAGUGAAAAUUUAAUAUGAUUUUUUGAAAAAUUCCACUUAAAGCAGCAGCUGUCCGCUAUCGUCACCAUUUAUUAAGUUAUUUUAUCCACUAAUAUUUAGGAUAUAUUUCUGAAUAUUUAUUUCUUCGUACACAUUUAUUUAAGGAGAAAUAAAUUAGUGAUUUUAACUGUAUUGAGGUAACAAAAUCCACUAUAAGGUCAAGGCUUUAUUCGUAGUUGGCUCGUCUUUGUAAAUUUGUCUAGAGUUUUUUUUUUUUUUUUUUUUUUUUUAGCUAAGUAGACACUAUUUUUUCUUCUCAAAAAAAAAAAAAUUGGUAGACACUAUUUUUUGAAAUCUCCCUAAGUUAAAAACAAGCAAAAUUCAUCCAUUGACCCACAUAGCUUUAUUGUUCUGUUUCUUAUUUUUACACUGAAAAGCUUAAUUGUAAAUUACAAUAAAUGUAACUUAAGAAUUUUUUUUUUAAAUUAUAAAGUUUCAAAAUAAAAUUGUAAUAAAUUGUGUUGUUAUCUCGUCCAUCAAACAAUAAAUCGUGCCAUUUUUUGUUUUCUAUUUCUAGAGAUCAUGAUUGUUUAUUAAUUUGAAAUUUAUAGGAUAACUAUAUUUAUAAUUAUAUUUUAUAUUGUCAUUAUAAUAAAUUUAGGUACCAAUAUCCAAAAUUGUUUAUCAUAAAAGUACCUUGGCAUACGUGAUGAUUAAAUUAUUGCACAUUAUAAAGCAACUCCUUCUUUAAUCAGUUGCGGAAAAUCAACAUCAUAUCUCCUUUCAUUAUUCGAAAGAAAUUUUUUUAGAUUAGGUAGUCUAAAAGUGUGAGACUCUUUAUCUUUAAAGUUUUCUUCAUAACAAUAGUAAUUAAAAAAAAUGAAAACUUUCAAAUUACGAAUAUUGACAAAAGUAUUCAUUUCUUCCCUUUUAGGUCAGUUUUCGAUCUUAAAUUCGUAAAUUCUUCUUGGCUUAGCUCAAGUCAAACGAUAUAAUUGACAUUUAUAUUACAAUAAAAAAAAUAUAUUGAUAUUUCUAAAUAUCGUUUCCUGAGAUCUCCUACCCUUAUUCUUUGAAUUUCUUAUUCAUAUUUUGUAAAGGCCAAUUGGUCAUAGGGUUGUUGUAUACAUGUCACGGUCUAAUUAUGUGCCUCAAAUUUUAACACUAACAUCAUCUUAGAUCUAGUCCAUUAUGACACAAUCUGAAUUUUCACCUUACAAGAUUGAGAAGGGUAUUUGAUCCCACUCACAUGAGGGAUACACGGCUACCUCUACUCAUUUUUAAGUGGAAGAUCGAACAAUUAUAUACGAAUAGUGAUAUUAGAGUCCGUAAAUAUGGACUCGAGCCUACCCAGCACUUUGGUGAGGGCGUGAGUUUAUGGCCGAGUGGUUAUGCAUGUAUAUGGCUGAGGUUGACUAUAGGGUUGACGGAGAAAAUACAGUUCAAACAUCACAUAAAGAAGUCAUUACAAUUUUUUUUUUUUUUGUUUUGACCACGAGGUAUUCUGGGAAGGGCCCCAACUGUAGGAGACACCUUUAAGCCUGUACCACAAUCCAGACUAAAAGUCCCUGCUCGAACCGAGAGGCACAGGUUCUCCCAACAAAUGCGACUUCCCUACGACUCGAACUGGGGAGCAAACCCAGUCAAGCCACUUAAAAAGAAGUCAUUACAAUUGAUGGAUGCAAGAGGAUCAAUUCACGUAGCUAGCCUAGCCCCCAAUAACUUUCAUCAUCAAGGCCAACUUUCAAGAACUAGGCCGUAUACUACAAUUAAUAACAGAGCGAAGAAUAAAUCCAGCACGCGUGAAGCAUUAGUAAAAAUUUGAAGUUUCAACAUCAAUAUUCCCCUACACAAUUUUAAUUGUGGAUUGCACAUACUAUUGAAAUAAUUUCCUGAAUAGCAAGUGGAUGUCUGAGUGAAGAGGAAGAACGAAUCCCAUUUCUUGUAUGUAUUGCUUAUACGCAACAUUGAGGAAUUGAUAAUGGCGUAUAAGUUGUCCUUUGACUCCUCCUCACCCCUUAAACAGUAUUUUCUGCAACAUGAUUUUUAUAGAAUCACAAAGGUACAUUUUGUGAUUUGGUAGUUGCUGAGGUCCGACCUGAAAUAAAAUGCCAGAGUAUUUAUUUUUAAUACCUAAUGUCAUACUCAACAUGGAUAACUUGAUAUUGAAACAGCCCAUAAGGCAGGCUCUUUCUCUCACCUUUCAGAAGCCAUUUUCUGCAACAUGAUUUCUGAAAUUGUAUGUAAUAUGAUAAAUUGCUAGAUGCUACGUUUGUACCUGAAGUUAUGACCACAGAGGAAAAGGAACCCAUUUAUUCAAAAUGUGUUUCUAAUACCCUCUGCUAGAAACAAAAGCAAUUGCAUCAAGAUUGAUGGGUAUCUGAUGAUACUUACCUAGCAUUGAAAAGGCUCGAAGUUGUAUAUAGCAACUUCGUUAACUGUUUGGACAGAGAAAUCACUGUCAAGACUCGUCUUGCUCAGAAGAUUGAUGGUAAUUUCUUCAUCUUACAAGAUAUCCCUUCUCUGAUUUGAAGUGCUAGAGCCUUAGGUAGCUCUCUCUCCGAUUCUGUUUUCAUAUGAAAAAUUUCCCCUGCAUUUACAGAGUAGAGGGGGUGACCAAUUUAUUUUUAUACACACAAACUUGGUGAUGAUCGGUAUCUGGGCUGAGUUGGAGUGAUUAACCGCGUGACAAUUUUGAAUUUUCCUGUGACGGCAUUAAGGACAGAUCCGUUUCCUUUGACAUCAUACAGCCAGCUUUCCACUAAAGAGUUGUCUCCUUCUUUGCGAAGUAGUGAAGUGAAGAUGGAGAACAAGGACGCGUGUCCCCUUCCUUGAGAAGCAGUCAGUUGCCCCAGCUAGCCUAAUACUUUAGAAUAUUCUGCUUCUUUUGUUUUCUUCCGCCGUCUCCUUCCUGUUAAAGGGAUAAAGUAGCAAGUGUUUAUACCGUUAAAAGUCUUAAGCUCCACGUACCUUCACCUUGUAGGCGCUAUUUAUUGGAUGCCAUUUAGGAAUGGCAAAAGGUCGGGUCCGGCUUGGGCUUGGCCAAGCCCUAGCCGGACCCGAUCAAAAAAUUUUGAAACCCGGCCCUAAAUGAGUCCGACUAUUUUAUAGUUAGGGUCGGCUACCGAAAUAGUUUUUAUAUUAUUUUAUUGUUAAAUUAUUUUUUAAUGUUUUGUUUUAUAUUCAUGUUAUUUUAAUGUUUUCUUCUAUAUAUGCACCAUAAUUCAAUAAUUUAGGUAACUCAAAUUUGCCAAUAUCUUUUCUAAUUUAAAAUAAUUAACAACACAAAGGUAAAAUGUAUAAUAUAAUUAAUCACAAAAUAAUUCACAAAACAACCAAUUAAUAGGAAUAAUUUUUUAAAUUCAAUUCCAUAAUCCAACUUAAAAAACACACAAUGCGAUUAAAUUAAAAAGAAAGUACAAUUCAAUUGCACAACCAUUUCAACCCCGCACACAAAUCAAUUCCAAAAUCCAACAUAAUUUUUUUUUUUUUUUGGUCGGGUCAAGGUUGAAGGAAAAAGUUUUUUUACCUUCGCGAAUCUGGUUCACUCUUCUCUCUUUCCAAUUGGCAAGGCAUGGGCAUAUGCCUCCAAGUCUCCAACGAUACUCCUCCGACGCUCAAGUAAAGGUGUGGAAGAAAAUUAUUAUGUAGGGAAGAUAGAAUGAAGCGAAUUAGAGGCUGAUGAUUACUCUAAUGUGUUUAAACCAUAGCUUAUUGGAUAUUGCGAAUGUUCAAAUUUGUGUGACAUAAAAAAAAAAAAUCGGACAUAUUGCCUCUAUUUAUAGGUACAACUAUGAAGAAAGAUUUGUUACCCUCGUUAGAGCACCACCUGUCCACCAUAGAUUUGGACACGUGGUGCUCCAUUUAUUGCUUUUACUAUCUUUUCUUCAGAGUUAAAAUAUCUCCUUAGUCAACAAACUAUUCUAGAAUUUAUUUAUAGUUUUUGAACUAACUUCGAUUCUUACGCACUUUUCUUAACAAAGUGCGUAUUAUUUUCUUAUCCUAAUUACUUUUUGUUUCGGAAUGAGUUAGAACUAGUCCGGAUCAUUUUUUUUUCUUUUUUAAGCAAAUGGCAAGUAUCGUUUGCUCAUUUUUAUGGUAAAAAUAGUACCUUUAGGGGUUGAUUUUAUCCCUCAUCUUGAUAUUUCUUUCAAUUUAUUAGGAGAAGUUUUUCGAAUUAAUAUUUAAGAAACUUUUUGGGUGUACCAUAAUUAAAUUUAUAUGUCUACUACCUAAUAGACUUUUGAUAUAGUUUUUAAUAUAUUUGUAAGUUAUAACCAGUUCGAAACCAUUGUAGGAUACAAAAGAUGAAGCUUCUAAAGAUCAAGCCUAGCUAUAAACUCACAUGAGUCUUGCCCAGCAUCAUAAAAACUCCAAUUAAUUUUAAUGAUGAGAUCAUUGGUUUUUUCUUGUCGCUCCCUUAACUAAAAGCAAUAAAGUCUUCUAUGGUAUUGAGAUUAGACAGCUAUAAGGUACAACACCAAACUAUUUAAUAAAUUGUUUUGGUAUUUUACCCAACCCAAUCAGAUCGAGUUGGGCUGACACACAAAAAAAUAGUAAUAAAUCUAAAAAACAAAACUAAACCUAAUCCAUUGUGACUCACUCACACAUAGCAGACAAUGUUAACAUGAAUAUGUCUAUAAUAAUGAUUUUGAUGAUAACAAACAAGAUUAAGAAUGAUUAAGUUUUUAAAAGCUCAAAUUAUUUUUCAUACAUUUUAAAUAAAUCAUUAUUUUGAUAUAGUAAAGGUUUUAUGCUUAAAUGAAAAAUAAUUUUAUGAAAUUAGUUGUUUUUGAAGUUCAUGAUCUAAUUGAAAAAGUUUUGAAAACUUUAAAAUCAACAAGUAUUGUGUAAAAUUCUGAAAAUGAACUUAUUUGAAAAGUUUCAUAAAUAUUUUGGGCUAUAGUAUAAUUUUAUAAAAUUUUGGACAAAAUUAUAAUUUUAAAAAGUUAUUCACUGUAGCAGUCACUGUAGCAACACAGCAAACCAACAUCUUGAUAACGGCUAGCCGACAUCGAACAUAAUUGAAGAUUAGCUUCUGGAUACUAACGGCGAUUCGACAUCGAAAAAAAUUGAAGAUUAACUUCUGGACACUAACAACGAUCCAAAAAUUUGAAUUUUUGGCACAAUUGUCACUUGCUCAAGUCAAAACGGUGAUCCGAUAAAUGGUAAACGGUGAUCCGAUUGUGUGCAGAAAGUCAAUAACGGCUAAUUUUCAACUUUUACUAUAAAAUGACUCAAUCAAAUUCAAGCAAAUCUCUUUCCAACCGUUAUCAUUGAGCUUGUUAUUAAGUAUACAACCAUUAUUGAGAUUUAAACUUGUUUUUGUUUUAUUCAUUCACACAUUGAGCUUUCAUUUGUAAUCAAACACAUUGUGUGAGAGAAAAUUAAUUUGUAAUCUUGAAUUUUGAGUAAUUGUAAGUGUUGGGAUACACUUAGGUUAAGUGAUUGGGGAUAAUCUCUUGUUGUAAAGGAUGAUUGACACCUUGGAAGUCAAUUGUAAGAUUUUUUGCGAUGAGAUUAAGGAUAAAACUAUCACAAGCAUGUGGGAUGAGGCAUAUUCGAAUCCUAUUCAAGUUCCCGUCGGACCCGUUACAAGAGCUCGAGCAAAGAAAUUCAAAGAAGCGCUUAAUGGAUUGAUUCAAGCAACUUGGGCUCAAUCAAAUUCGUGGAGGCCCGUUGAAGGAAUCGCACAUAGUAAAUGCAUGAUUCAUGCUCUUAAAGUUUCCAAAUAAUCACUUUCAUGAAAUAGGGAGUUGGCUUGCACGUUAAGGCGGGAAAAUAUAUGAUUUUCAUUUCUUGAGGAGGCUAUUAGGGAAAUAAAUCAGUUAUUUCUAUUUUUAUUGCCUAGUUUCCAUUUUAAUUAAGCUUAGAGGUGUGGACGUAGGCGCGGUUGGCCGAACCACAUAAAAAUCGUGUGUUUGCUUUCUCUCACCGUAUCCCUUUAUUUUUCAUUGCACUUGAAUUUGUUUAUUUCAAAUUUGGUCCUCUUGAUUAAAUUACAUUAAGUUUUAGUUGAUUAAAUUUUUAGAAACCUAAUUCACCCUUCCUGAGUUGUCUAGUUAUUAUUUCAGACACACGUGCAACGGCAGAUAGGGAUGGCAAAAAGAUCUGAGUCCAACCCGAAUCCAGAAAGACCCAGAUCUCAAUGCUAAAAUUAAGAUCCGUGAGGACUUGGAUCCAAACCUAGAUGCAACUAGAUAUUGAGAUAUGCAUUAUCUUUUAAUUAAAUUAUUUAUUAAAUUAAAAUUAAAUUAAAAAUAUAUAAGUUAAAUAAAAAAUUAAACCUAUGGAUUAAUGGUGGUUUUAAACUGAAUCUAUGUAGAUUUGUGAUGCUUUUAUUCUUGGAUUUGUGGUGAUGUUAGAUUAGAUUUAUAUCUUUUUUAUGUUUGAUAUAUAUUGUGGUAUUGUUAUUUGUGGAUUUAUGGUGUGGUGUUAUUGUAUGUUAUUCUAGGGGUUGAAUUGUUGAUCAUGGAAUAAUGAUUGGAUUUUAUUUGAUUUUACUAGGUACAUUUAAUUUUAAAUUAUAUUUGAAUAUAGCAUUAUGCGGAUCCGGAUAUCUAAGAAAUCCGCUUGUAAUCUGUAUAGGUAUUAUCUGCAUCUUGAUUCAGAUCUAGAUUUUGCCAACCUUAAUGGCAGUACUCACCAAACAAGUGAACACACACAAAGAGAUCGAAGACAGCAGACGCAGAUGGCACGGCAGUCGGCAUGGCAACAUAGAUAGCACAAUAGCCAUCAGUCACCGACUAAUCGAUACGGCCGCGCAAAGCCAAGCCAUCACUAGUUUCCGAUGCACCGAGGAACCUGCUAUAGGUCGAUUGCUUUUGUUGCUUGCUCCACCGGCCGCCGUAACUGCUGCUACAAGUUGCUCUAGCUCGAUUGACAGCCACCAUCACCAAGUUCCUCUAACUCAAAAUUUUCAUAAUAUAUUACUAUAUUAUAUUAAAUAAUUUCGAAAGUUUUAACUUAAUUAUUCUUUUUGUAUUAAUUUUUCCUAUUUUUGUACAUAUAAAUUUACUUGCAUGAUUAGCUUAAUUUUUUAAUGUUUAAUCAAGUACGUAUGUUUAUAUAUAUAUAUAUAUAUAUAUAUUGAAGAGUUCAUUUUAUAUGCUAAUGAUAAAAUGGAUGAUAAGCAGUUCAUGAAUUAUUUGCUUGGUGCAAGUAUGCAACGGUUUUUCUUUGUAAAUGUUUUUUUUUUUUAAAGUAUUAUAUGCUAACGGCAUAAAGGCAAGUGAUUCAAUUAUUUGUUUGAUACAUGCAUGAGUGAUCUUCAUUCCAAGUUCCAACGGUUGCAUUCAAAUUCAUAAAAGAAAAGAACAUUAAAUAAAUCUUAGCAUUAAAUUGUAUUUCUUUAAUUUGCUUUUCUCUUCAAUUCUUCCCCAAUGGAUCGAUGCUUCAACUUGGAGUACUAAAAGUUUGAAGUUAAAACUUGUCCAAGUGCAGCGUGAAGAAGGCUAUUCAUUAUGUAUGUUUGAACUUUGUUGUUUUAGAAACUACUUAUUUUUAGAUUUUGCGUUUCCGAAAUUGUUUAAUUAUGUUUAAACUUUGUGAGUUGUGAUUGUGUGUUUUGAAGGCUAUUUAUUUUUUAACAUUACACUUUGGAUGGAGACUAUUAAGUUUGGAUUUUUUGUUAAUUUAAAUUUUAUUCAUUUGAUUUCAUAGUAACAGACUAAUAGAUUUCAUUUUUCAUUGAAAAUUGGUAAAAGUGGACUAAAUGAGAUAAUUAUACAAACGCAAUCUUCCCAUAACUAAAUAAUUUGUAAAAAAGGCUCAAAAUAAAUAUAAAAAAAUAGCUCAAAAUUGCAUAUGACCCGAACUGACCCUAAUCCAAUUUCAAACCGAACCCAAUCCAAUUCGAACUCAACCAUAAUUUUUUAUCCGAUCCCAUCCCAUCUGAACAUAUUUAGAUUAGAUUGAAUUAUAGGUUGAAGUUGAGUUCAAAUGACUCCAUGCUCCAAUUUUAAAAAGACCUUUGAGAAAUACUCAAUGCUUUUACACUUUGGUCCACCAAUCUAAAGCACUGCAUUUUAAUAGGCAAUCAGUUGCAAAUUGUCACUACAAGAAAUUUGACUUUUUAAGACAAUUUUUUUAUGCCAUUUUUUUUGUCAUAAAAUAAUACUUAUUGUGACGAUUUUUUUAAAAUCGUAACCAAUAAUCUCGUCCUGACCCAUGUUAUAUUCUGUAACGAAUAAUAUUUGUUUUAUGACUCAAUAAUUGGUCACUUAAUCAAAUGUUUUGCGACAAACAUAAAAUUAACCACAAAAGGACAUGCUUUUUUUAGCGCAAAACAUUCCCUCCAAAAUUGAUCAUUUUCUGACAAAAUAUACCUCAAUCUUAUAGUUUGACACACUCAUAACACGAAAAUAUACCUCAAUUUCAUCCAACUGUGAUAGAAAAUGUUCAGGACUGCAAUUCCCAUCAAGCUUUCGAAACAUGAGGCCCUUUUAAUAUUUAAAUCACAAAUACUAAGCCAAUGGCAAAAUUAAAAAUAAGGCUUAACUCUCGGUUUACCAUAUGUGACAUCUGAUAGCCAAUUAGCAUGUGCUUUAGUCCGCCAGAAAACAUGUAACUUGUCUGAAGCUGAUAUAUUUAUUUAUUUUUGUAGCAACAAUUUCUUGGAAAGUGAGACCAAGGCUAGGUCAAGCGAUUUUCUAGCAAUUCUACUUAGUUGGCAACUAGAGUUAGAACUAUAUAAGAGGUAAGGGUUUGAAAAAUUGAUUUGAACUUUGUCCAUCCCUCCAUCUUAAAUUUAUAUUUGUAUUAGUAUAUAUUCUUCUAAAUACAUUAACCUCAAAAUUAAAAAAUUAAUUUUUUUUGUAAAGAAAAAUUCCUACAAUGUAGUCCAAAAUUACCUCAUCUCUCUUCAAAAAUUUAAACUAAACUUAUGAACUUGUGAUAAUUUAUCCUUGGCUUUUCUUAAAAUUUUAUCUUUAAUUAAAGAAAUAUAUUUGAAAAUUACCUUCAAUGCCCUAUAUAUAGCUAUUAUGAUAUGGCCUUUGGUACCGCUGCCACCACCUCAAUCAUCGGCUCAUAUUCCAUGGCAAUGGCUGUGUCCCUGGGCAGCAGGGUUAUUAUUCUUUUACUACAUUAUUAUUCUUUUACUACUCUAACUAUGUUAAUAUAACAAGUGACUACAAAAAUUAUUGAAGUGUAAGCAUUUCGUUACAUUAAGCAUUGAAAAAUAAUGUUUUACUACUUUUUUGUUAUUACAAUUAAUAAAAGGGCAAUUAUCCACUGACCACCUGUUUUUUUGGAUUUUUUCAAAAAUAUACAUAUCUUUUUUUUUGGCUAAUUUCCACCUGAAGUUACAAAAUGUAUCAUUUUUCCACUGUUGUCUAAACUCCGUGAGAGAAGUUAACAGAAUAUUAACAAAAUGACUAUUUUACCCCCUUAAUGUAAAAGUACUAUUUCACCUAAUUAAAUGAAAAAAAAUUAAAUUACUUCAAUUUUCUUUGCAAUUUAGACAUUAGAUAAUAAGUUAAACAAAAUAAUCUAGAAUAUUUUUACAUUUUUUUCCUCUUUCUACCGCGUUUAAAUGACGUUGAUUUUUGCUAUGCAGGUGAAAUGACAAAUUUACCCCUAUGACAUCAGUAAGGUUAUAAUAUAAUGCAAACGGAAGUGGAAAAGUGUAAGAAAAUGUAACUUCCAGUGGAAAUCAACUAAAAAAAAUAAGAUAUGUAUAUUUUUAAAAAAAUCAGAAAGAAUAGGUGAUCGGUGGAUAAUUUCCCUUAAUAAAAUGAUGAUGUCAUGUCAUACGAACAAAUUUAGCAUUAAGUUGUAAAAAUAGCAUUAAGUUGUAAUUUUAAGUUACAUUUUCACUAAAAUUAGCAUUAAAUUGUAAUAUUGAAUAAAAGAAAGGGCAAUAUUGUCUUUUUAAGUCAAAUGAAAAAUGAUUAUUUAAAUAAAAAAUGAGAUGUUACUUUUUUUUUUUUACAAAAUACUGAUAUUUAGGAUUAUUACUGAUAUUACAGUAGAGAUUACAAUUGGUACUUGUCUCCACUCAAUUAUUUGCAAAUUAUUUUUUGAAUAUUGAUAUUCAAGACUAUUACUGAUAUUACAAUAAAGACUACAACUGAUAUUUGUCUCCACUCAAUUAUUUGUAAAAUUUGUAAAUAAUUGAGGGAGAACUGAAACGAACCCCUAUAAUGUUUUUAUGAAAACUCAAAACCCUUGCUUUGGCAUGUUGUGAAAAAGCUCUAGAACGUUGUGAGUGCAAAAGCUCUCUCACUAAGUUAAACCAAAACACUCUUUACACCUAAUUACUCAAUACACCUUUGCUUAAAUUUAAAAGUUAAAAUUUUACUUUCUAUACCUCUUAGUAUACCAAAAUUAAUCCUAUUAUAACAUGUAAUUUUAAAUAAUGUUAUUUUUCAUGAACAUCCACCAAAACCAUUUCCAUCAUCCAUUUUUUUUUUUAACACUGGUAUGUAACGAGUCUCAAAGAUUACUAGACAAUAUCACAUUAUCAAUAAUAAUAGUACUUUCCUCCUAAGAUGAUUGCUUAUAUGCUACUUAAGAUUAUAGUGCUUUCCUCCUAGAGGAUUUCAUAGUUGUUUACAUGCUACUCAAGUUUACAGUACUUUCCUCCAAGAGGAGAAAUUCAGAGUUGUUUACAUACUACUUAAGAUUUUCAUCAUUAUGAUUUCUCUUAGAAAUCAAAUGGUUACUUAGCUGAGCUGGGGUGUUAUUUGUUAUUGACUGAGGGCACGUGAUAGUGUUUUGUACAGGAAGAUUUCCAGGAUAAGAAGUGGAAUUGUGAUUUUGUAGCUGUUGAGGGAUGGUGUGUGUUUUCUUCAUUGUGAUUUCCAUUCGAAGUUGAAUGUUCACUAGGUGACUGCUGAGGUGGGGAAGCCAUUUGUUGACUUGAUUCCCCGUCAUCAGUAGUCGAAAUACCAUGCUUCCUCUUCUUAUUCUGUUUUCUUUGUAUGCGACACAAAACAAAUUCCUCUUACAUGCAUUAGAGGCAAAACCAAAACAAGGAAUACUGUAUUAUCAAUUAAUUUUCAGAUAUUCGUUAGCACCGCCAGAAUUGCUACUCACCAAACAAUAACAGAUUCAUUCAUCAAGUCAUGCAAAUGCUUUUGGACACGUAUUUGUAGUUGCAUUUUAAAUUUAAGUCACAAUUUCUUGCAUCGUCAUACGAAGAUCCUACCCAUUAAUGUUUAAGUAAUAGGCAACAAAGAUUAUACUUUAAUGGAGGGUGCUAAUCUGAUCCAGGAUCUUUGACAAGUUCGGAAUGGUCAUUACACUAUUAAACCAUAUGAUUUAAUAACUUUUUCUUACUUUAAGAAAUUUAGGAUCUUUGAUUGGAACAUUUCUAUUCUAAUGGAUAUCGUAUCCACUGAAAAUGCUCAGUCCGGGUGUCCGGACAAUUUUCAUCUUCACGGAAUUUAGUGUGGAUGCUGCAUCAAAAGAAGUAGAAAUUUUAAGACUGCCUGGUUAACAAAUCCCAUUAUAUCUCCAAUAGACACAAUAAUCAAGCAUGCUUCACGAACUAAUCACUUCAAUCAUCAAGAAGAGCUAGCCGUAUUAUAUACAUCCAAAAUUUAACAAUGCAUAAAAGAAAUGAACUUUCGAGUGAGUGACAAAAACAAAAUAAGCUCGUACCUUAUAACUAGGGUUGUCCUUGACAUGGUACUCAUGCAUAACUCAGUCGGCCUUAGCUUCCUUAAUGCAUAAAAGAAAUGAACUUUCGAGUGAGUGACAAAAACAAAAUAAGCUCGUACCUUAUAACUAGGGUUGUCCUUGACAUGGUACUCAUGCAUAACUCAGUCGGCCUUAGCUUCCUUAGGAGGUGGACCAUGACAGUAAAAAGUCAAAGUGUUUUUGGUACCAGUAACAGUAAGGCCGUUUCUAGCUUCGAUCUCACAAUCUUUUCCAGUAAUUUUCCAGUGCCCUGCUUCUGUUCUUCAGUGACACGGUUACUCUCCCUAUACUUGUAAUAAGGUUCAUAGAAAAAGUAUCAAACUUGAUCCUCUGACUCAGUUUUUGAUACCGCUGCAUCGCAAAAUUAUAGUUGUGGGUCAGUUAAUUCAGUUGGGAAAAUCUUUCAGUACAAGAGCUUAGAAAGAAAAGUGGGGGAAAAAAAAAAAAAAAAAAAAAGAGAUUACAUAUACAUACUGGGUAAGUCCCAUGGCUCAAGGCUGCAGUUAUGACCAAUAUCCUUGAUAGGAUGAUGUGAGAAAUGAGGGUCAAGCCUCUUCUUCUUGAGAGAAUGGACGAUUAUUUCUUUUUUUUUUUUUUUAGACAAUAUAAGGAAGCACAAAUGAAAAUGAGAGUAGCAACAACUUCUUCAAUAGCUGGUAGGGAGUAGGGAUGGCAAACAGCGGGCCUGAGUCGGACUUUUUAAAGUCUAGGUCCACUGUCAGUUAAGCAUGUGGGUCCAGGUCCAUUACAGGCCUGGGCCGGACUUGAGCUUUAUUUAUUUUAAAAAAUUUAAAUUAUUGUAAAUUUAAAAUAAAUUAAUGAUCAACAAGUUAUUACAAUCAUAAAUAAAUUAAAGAAAACGAAUAUUUCAAAUUAAAAUAUAAAUAAAGCAAAUAAAAGCUCAUAACUUUAAUUUUCUUUAAUACUGAAUUUUUUAAUUCAAACGCUCUCUUAAUUAAUUGACACAAAAGACAUAAUUUAGUAUCAUAAUUUUAACUUUUUUAAAUCAUAAUUGAUUUAUAAGUUAAGAAAUUAGGUUUUCUUUUUAAAUUACUUUUCAAUUUUAAUUAUAUUAUUCUAAUUUAUAAAAUUAUUUUUUUUUUAAAUAAUAGGCCUGCGUUUUAUCCGGGUUUUUUUUCUUAGGCCCUUAUCUAGGCCCCCAUGUGUGAGGGCUGGGCCGGCCCGCACUUUUUUAGCACCCCUAAUAGGGAGCAUAUGAAGCCCCCAAGACUCUCCACUAUUGGUUCUAAUUCAGUGCAGUUACAGUGGUUUCUCUCUCUCUCUCUGGUUUAAUGGGAAGAACUUGUUUCUCGAGAAAGAAUGGACUGUGAGCGGCGGUAAUCAUGUUACUUUGUACAAUAAAAAAUAACUCUUCUUAUUACGCGUUGUGCUACAGUGAGACAAAUUUUGGCUGCUUCUCCAACGGUGUAAACUCCACAUUCUCACAAGGAACAACUUUUGAGUAGACUAAAGAAUCAAUUAACUGAAGGUCAGUCAAUGAAAAAAGUGACAAAUAAUAUGAAAAAUUAUAGAAGUAUCAGCUUCUUACUCACAUACGUAGUUUGGGACUUGAGGCCCAACGUUCCUCUUAUUGCUUCAGCACCAGCAUCCUUAUCCUCUUAGGACUGAUAUUUGAACUGUUGAACACUAAUAUUUAAAUUUAAAAAAAUCAGACAAAAGACUGAUUAAAUAAAUUAUAAUAUUACCAACAAGCGCGUAAAUCAAUUGGCAUGUGGUUAUUAUAUCUUAACCAAGAUUUUCGGUUCGAUGCUUGAGAAUGCAGCUGCGUUAAAUACUUGUUGAGAGAAUUUUACCGCUCUAGUAGUCCUACCCGGCUCGAAUCUGGAUUAGUCGGGGCCCAAUAUGGUAUUCAGAUACUAGAUGGCUUAAUACACAAAAAAAAAACUAUAAUAUUUAAUAUUAUAAGGAUCUCAUUAGGUUAUAUUUAAUGUAACUUACGAUCACAAAAAAUAAAAUAAAAACAUAAUAUUGACCUCACAUAGUGCACUUGUGGCAUUGAGCCCCGACUAAUCCAAAUUCGGGGUGUAGUCAUAGUUAAGGCUCUUUACCCCUCGCAAAUAGUGUGUUUAGUGGAGAUCGAACCCGAGAGCUCUUCCCACAAACUCAACCUGCGUUGCCAACUAAGCCACAACCAUUUGGUGUCUAUUGUUGAUUUUUAUAUUACUUUUAUUGAUUAUAAAAUGAAUAUAUCUUGGUGAUUACCAUACUAUAAAACCACAGAUUAUUAUAAUUUAUUUUAUCAAUAUUUUGUAAGUAUUUAGUCCCUUUCUUCAUAUUUAUCUAAAAGAAUAGUAUAAAAGGCGAAAGAAUAACCGUUAAAACUAUAUAUAGAGUAAUUGUUAAUUAUAAAAAUAAUGAAAAAACAUGUGUACAUGGGGUUACCAAUAACUAAAAAAUAAUAAAUAAAAAAACCGUUAACAUUAUCAUAGUAUUUAUUAUGAGGUUAUUUGACUAAGGGGAAUUUUGGAAUCUUCUACUACUUCAAGAAAAAUCUAGAAGCUUCUACUUCUUACAAUCUCUUCGUCUGUAGUUUCAUUAUUUUAAUUUCAUUGAUGAACAGUAAAAACCGUGACGAUGUACAUAACUUCAGACAGGGUGGAAGAGCCAGAGGUGGGGGCAGAUGUUAUUUAGCUAGGGAUUUUUAUUUUUUCUAAGUGUUUAUAUUUAAUUUUGGGCUUAAUGUUCUGGUUUUGAUGAUUAAAAUAUAAUUUUGUAUAUAUAUUUUUUCGUUAUUUUUAAAGCCAACAAGAACAAAUUAUAAAUUUUACCGGGGGUAAAUGAAAAACUUGAGCGAAAAUUUGAUAUAUAUAUAUAUAUUUUUUGUGAAAUUCCACUCAACGGAGCAGCUCCACAUUCUUCACUGCUUAUUUUAUCCACUAAUAUUUAGGAUACAUUUGUAAAUAUUUAUUUCUUUAUGCACAUUUAUUUAUUUAAAGAGAAAUAAACUUAUGACUUCAACUUGAUUGAGGUAACAAAAUCCGCCACUAGGCAUUAGGUCAAGGCUUUAGCUGCAGUUAGCGUGUUUUUGUAAAAUUAUACAAAGUUUUCUUAAUGGGUUAUUAUUAUUUUCCUACUUUAAAAAUUACCAAAUAUCAAAUGACUACAAUAAAUAUUGUCUUCUAUCAUUUUCCUACUAUAUCUUUAUAAAAAUAUCAUUUUACUACUUUUCUAUUAUAACAAAUAUCACUUUACUACUUUUUCGUUACAACCGUUAGUUGACCAGUUAAUUGACUAACAAAAUAUUAAUUUUACCCUUCAUGAUUGAAAAAAAUAAUAAGACAAAUUUUUAAUUCAUAUAUCAUAAUUCUAGCAAAAAUAAUUAUGUUGGUAUUAUAUAUCCAUUUUAAUAAAUAUAUUACAAAUUUAUUUUGUAAAUAAGUUUCAAAUUUUUUUUUUUAAUUAUGAAGGGUGAAAUUGGUAUUUUGUUAGUCAACUAACUGGUCAACUAACGGUUAUAACGGAAAAGUAGUAAAAUGAUAUUUUACAAAGAUAUAGUAGAAAAAUGAUAGGAGACAAUAUUUGUUAUAGUCAUUUGAUAUUUGGUAAUUUUUAAAGUAGUGAAAUGAUAAUAACCCUUUCUUAAUUAAAUAGACACUAUCUUUUAAAUUGUAAACUUCAAAAAUAAAAUUGUAAUGAAUUGUAAAGUUUUCUCAUCCAUCAAUUAAUACAUCAUACCAUUUUUCGUUUCCAUUUCCAGAGUUCAUGAUUGUUUAUUAAUUUGAAAUUAUGGGAAAACUAUAUUUAUAAUUAUAUUUCAAAUUGUCAUUAAUCCAAAAUUAAUUGUUAAUCAUAUAAGUACUCUGGUAAACGUCAUGAUUAAAUUAUUACAACAGUUCAAAGUAUGUCAUUAUUUUAUCAGUCGUGGAAAAUCAACAUGUCUCCUUUCAGUCUCUGCGGGAAAUUUAUUUGAUUGAGUAGGUUAAGAUAGCAUUUACUUCUUAAAUUUAGAGUGAGAAUUCUAAGGAAUAUGAAUUCUAGAAUUGAAAGUGUAGAGUGAAAGUGAGAAUAGAUUGUUUACUUAUACUAGAAUGUAAGUGUGGAAUAGGAAUCAAAACCCCAUUUAUGUGUUUAUUUUGUCUUGGGUUAGAAGUGAAUUAUUUUAAAUUAUAAUUUUACUAUUAUUUAAAGAAUUAUGUUUUUAAUUAUAAAGUGAAUAGAAAAAUAUAUUUGUAAAAUAAACUAUUUACUUUAUUACUAAUUUUAAUUAUAUAAUUAUUAAUAUUUCUAAUUUUGUAAAUCAUAAUUUUUUUUAUUUUUAAUUUUAAUUACGUAAAUUAAAAAUUAUUGAUAAGAGCGACAUUGAUGAAACACUAUUAUUAGUAAUAUAGUACAAAAUUAAAUUUUUUAGAAUAACCUAUUUAUUAUUAUUAAUUAUUGAUAUCAAAAAAUAUAAUAUUUUUAAAAUUAAAUAAAUAUAAUAAUAUUAUAUUUUUAGAUAAAGAGAGUAUAUAGUAAUAUUAUUAAUUCUCUACAAAUAUAACAAUAUUAUUUUAAAGUAAUUUUAUCUUAGAAUUAAUGUAAAUUAUUAUUUUUAACUAAAUAUAACAAUUUUAUAUCUAAAUAAGUUUAAUAUUAUUACUUUUAGUAAAUGUGAUAUUAUUAAAUAAUAUAAUAAUAUAAUUAAAUAAAAAUGAUAUUAUAAUUUUAAAUAAAUAUAAAAUUAUUUAUAUUAAUAAAUAUAAUUAUAUUCGAUAAGAGAUAGGUAAAAAAGGAAAAGGAAGAGGAAGGAGUGGAUUCCCAAGAGUGGGAAUCCCACUCCCACCCCCCAAGAGUGGGAAUCCCACUUCACACUGUAAAAAUGAGUGGGAUCCACAUAGCGAGAGUCUCACUCUCUCCUUAAAUGCAUAAAUAAAUACUGAAGUGGAAGAAAUUCAUACUCCCACUCACACUUCAGUAAAUAAACACAAUAUAAAAGUGUGAGAUAGUAAGACUUUUUUUGUCUUUAAAGCUUUCUUGAUCACAAUAUUAGUUAAAAAUGAAAAUUUUUAAAUUAUGAAUAUUGACAAAAGUAUGCAUUUCUACCCUUUUAGGUCAAUUUUUUUUAUCUUGAACAAAACUGAAACGGUCCUAAAAAAUAAAAGAAAAAUAACUAUUGAAGGUGACAUUGGUGGUAGACAAUAACGAUGCUCAGACAAUCAAAUGAGUAUUGGAGAGAGUGCUAGAUUUUUUAGAAACCCUAAUAUCAAUAAAAAAAAAAAAUUUUGAGAGUUGUGGGGGAGACAUUGAACUUGUUUUGUUGAGAUUGACUUGAUAUUAUAUAGGAAAUGCCCCUGAGGACAUCUUAGUGUCGUUCUGGACAUUUGACAAGUUGUAAUAAGCCAUUUCCCUCCUUACGUAGUAGCUUUUGGAUCACUUGACCAUUCAACUUGAGUCUUUUGGCCUCUUUUGGGCUAAACACAUGUCAGUUAUGAGAUCAUUCCCGUUAACAACAUAUUUUAAUCUCUGAUUGACUUAUUUCAGUACAAGCAAAUUGGACUUUUAGAGCAGCUGACUCCUCUUUUGGUAGGUCAAAUGCAUUGAUUUCUAGGUUAUUAAGGUGGCUUAUGCUCUUUUUUUAAGAUCUUCUCAUUCUACCCUUAUCCUUUGAAUUUCCACUUCACAUUUUGCAAAGGCCAAUAGCUUAUGGGGCUGUUAUAGACACAUGUUAAGCUCUAAUUACAUGCCCCAACUUUUACCACCAAUAUCAUCUUAGAUCAAGUCUAUUAUGAUAAGAGUCUAAAUUUCUAUUCUCACAAACAUUUGAUGUUACUCAUAUUAGAGAUAGAUCCCUACCUCUAGCCAAUUUUAAGUAGAAGAUCGAAUGGUUAUACACAAAUAGUUAUAUUAGAGUCCAUAAAAAGGAACUCGAACCUGUGCCCUCACUUUGGCGCGGGCAUGAGUUCACCUCUCGGUCCAUGGGCGAGUGGCUAUGCAUAUAUAUACUUGAGGUUGUUAGAAAAUUGAGUUUCCUCCCAAGAUCUCUCCAAGCAAUUUGUCAAGUAACAAAUUAACAAGAAAAAUUAAAUGAAAAAUAAUAUCAAUCCCACAACACAAGAUUUACGUGGAAAACUCCAAAUCCGAAGAAAAACCACGGCCGCUGUCAAAAAGACAACCAGAGAAAAAUAUUCACUAUGUAGAAAAUUAUUACAACCACACUCUCAGAAAUAAUUUUCUCUCACCCUCAAGAACUUUAUAAUUUUAAUUCCUUAAAAUUACUCAAGCUCUCAACUUUGUUUCUUCACAAAACUGGAUGCAAAAACCAAAAAUGGGGAGCUUCCUUUAUAUAGCCAAAAUUGGCUAUUAUUUUAAUAUUUUCUUUAUUCUUCUCGUGGCUUCUUCAAAGCCGUGUUCCAACCUUUUUUCUUUCUUCCAUUUUGGCGUUCCAACCAUCAUUUGUCAAGAUCAACUUCUGCAACAUUUGCUGCAUCAACGCUUCUAGAUGUAGCUUCUAGAAGCUGCAACCAAAUACUUUGACAUUCUCCCACUUGGAGUUUUGAUUGAGAAUCAAUCAAUCUCCACACUAACCUUAGUCAUAAUCCUCACCAUAGAGAAUUAUCAUACUCCACCAUAAAGAGUAUACCACUUAGAAUUAAUUACCAAUUCUAAGAAUUUUACAUCGGCACAUGUCGAAAUAUCCUGCUGAAAUUUAUGGUGCAACUUCCAUGUUGGCCUUCCUAGAAGUUUGUCAGCCAUCGACAUAAAUUCCACCACACACCCUACAUCAAUGCCAACCAUGCCUUGUGUGUAAAUCUUAUAGACCCGCUAGUAGUAACAUAUCCCCUUUCAUGGUACUAGCGGUAUACCAUGAGGAUGUCAUCAUCAUCCAUUUUACAAGUGAUCAUCGUCUCCCACGAUGAUGAGAGACUUACCACUAGCAAUACUAUCAGUAUCUGAUCUGGAGCCACUUGCCGAUCCUACUCCAUUUCUACUAUGACAAUCUCUUUUUAAGUGCCCCGAUUGUCCACACCCCCAGCAGACUCCUUUCUUCUUAGAUUUAUCUUUCUGCCAAUUCCCUACAACUGCCAAAGCCGAGACAUCUGUAGUUUUAGUACUUUCACCACCCAGUCUUCUUUCUUCUGAGAGUAAAGUACUAGUAACUUCUUCAAGAUCUACUGUCUCCUUCCCGUACAUCAAAGUAGGUAACAAGUGUUUGUAGGAAGUUGGAAGUGACUAUAGUAACCUAAGCGCCUUGUCCUCAUCUUCAAUUUUAACUCCAAUGGCUUCUAGUUCUGACACAAUACCAUUGAGAAUACUGAGGUGAUCGGAAAUUUUUGUACCUUCAGCCAUUCGCAGUGUGUGAAAUCGCUCCUUCAGGUACAAUCGAUUUGAGAUGCUCUUUGUCUGAUACAACUUUUCUAGCUUCUCUAAAAGUUCUUUCGCUGUAGGAAUUUUUCCUACAUUUGCAAGAACAUUCUUUGCUAGACACAGUCGUAUGGCACUUGCAGCUCUAUCAUCUAAUUCUUCCCAAUCUUCAUCACUUAUACUAGUUUUUCCAGAGCCACUACUGGAAGCAAGGGAUGACUUCCCCUUCAAUACCUUGUGUAACCCAGAUUGAAUCAACACAUCUUUGACUUGAACUUGCCACAAGCCAAAGUUAAUUCUCCCAUCGAAUUUUUCUAUUUCAAAUUUCACCGGACUUGAAAAUUUCAAUCCUGACAUAUUUGCUUUGCAGAUAAGCUUUUACUCUUCACCGCGGACUGUUUGGAUUGGCUCCCACUGCUUCACGUGAAUAGUACCGUAUACGUGAACAGUACCGUAUACGUGAACAGUGCCCGACACCAAAACUUAAAUCAAUGGCAUAAGGGAUCACAUGCAUAGAUGAUACGCAUAUGUUAUUAUUAGUAAACAAAUACUAUUUUCUCACAUGUAUUAUUUUCUUUUUUAAAUCUUUGUUACAGUUCUAUAAAUAAAUUAAAAUCCAAAAUUUAUUAUCUCACAUAAGUUGAAAAUAGUUAUUAGCUAAUAAUAUAAGCAUGUGGUAAUCUUGAAAAGCCCCGAACCCUAAAGAGGAGUAUAUCUAGUUUCAUUUAAUAUGACUAUAUAAACUUAUCAACAAGGAUUUUUUCAAAAAUUUGGAGUCUCCCUAUAUUUAUGAUGAAUAAAGUUGGACACAAAGAUUCGUGAUGAGUUCAUACUGUUCAAUAAUUGAUGGAUGUCACGUACAUGAACCAUUCACCUCUCUGCUUGUACUCCUUUUGGAACAAGCAUUUUUGUCUAUUCAAACAGGCUCCAAGUUUCAAGAACUAGGCCAUGCUAUUGAAAAUUCAAGUGCUCUAUAUUACAAAGCAACAGAUGACUACCAGACAAUAUCAUAUCAUCAAUAAUAAUAGUACUUUUCUUCUAAGAGAAUUUCAUAGUUAUUUACAUACUACUUAACAUUACAGUACUUUCCUCCUAAGAGGAUUACCUAGUUGUUUACAUGCUACUUAAGAUUACAGUAGUUUCCUCCUACGAGGAGAUCAGAAUUCAAUAAAAGGUGAGUGAAGCAUUAUCACCCAUAUAGAUAUAGUAAAUUAAUAAUAUUACCCCUUAGAGGAUUUUAUUGUCGUUUUAAAUUUGCUAUUUAAGCAAAACUCUCAAGUAGUUCUUCUAUCCAUGCAUCCUUGUAAGCAGUGUUCGUGUCACUUCUAUCCAGUGCAUAAGCUGAACCUUUUAAAUUUGCUACUCAAGCAAAAUCCUCAAAUUGUUUCUUCUAUCCAUGCAUCCUUGUAAGCAGCAUUCAUGUCACUGCUAUCCACUGCAUAAGCUGAAUCUUUUAAAUUUGCUACUUAAGCAAAAUUCUCAUUUCUAAGCAUUGCUUGUGUCACUUCUAUCUACUGCAUAAGCUGAAACUUUUAAAUUUGCUACGAAAGCAAAAUUCUCCAGUAGUUCUUCUAUCCAUGAAUCGUUCGAAGCAAUGUUUGUGUCAUUACUAUCCACUGCAUAAGCUGAACCUUUUAAAUUUGCUACCUAAGCAAAAUUCUCAUUUCUAAGUAGUGUUUGGGUCACUUCUAUCUACUGCAUAAGCUGAAGCUUUUAAAUUUGCUACUUAAGCAAAAUUCUCAAGUAGUUCUUCUAUCCAUGAAUGCUAAGCAGUGUUUGUGGCACUACUCUCCACUACAUAAGCUGAACCUUCUAAAUUUGCUAACUAAGCAAAAUUCUCAUUUCUGAGUAGUGCUUGUGUCACUUCUAUCUACUGCAUAAGCUGAAGCUUUUAAAUUUGCUACUUAAGCAAAAUUCUCAUUUCUAAGCCAUGUUUGUGUCACUACUCUCCACUGCAUAAGCUGAACCUUCUAAAUUUGCUACUUAAGCAAAAUUCUCAUUUCUAAGCCAUGUUUGUGUCACUGCUAUCUUCUGCAUAACCUGAACCUUCUAAAUUUGCUACUUGAGCAAAAUUCCCAUUUCUAAGUGUUUGUGUCACUGCUACCUACUGCACAAGUUGAAGCUUUAAAACUUGCUACUUUCUACCCAUGAAUCUUUCUACGCGGUGUUUGUGUCACUGCUAUCCACUGCAUAAGCUAAAACUUUUAAAUUUGCUACUUAAGAAAAUUCUCAAGCAGUUCUUGUAUCCAUGCAUCGCUGCAAGCAGUGUUUGUGUCACUGCUAUUCACUACACAAGCUGAAGCUUUUCCAUCUGACUUUGAUGGGUUAAAGCCAGGGAAAAGGGUUUGUCCAGUCUCUUGGCAAGAGUUUUCAUCCUGGAAAGCCCUUGAGGAUUUGAUCAGGUAAUUUACCUGCUCAUCACUACCAAUUAGACAAUCAGAAAAGUCAAAACUAUCAAAAGAACUAUUAGAAUAUAUUAAUUCUUGUUCUUGAUAGAUUGGUCUCUCUACUGCAGAAAAAAAGGCUUCAUUUAGCCUAUUGUAGCCACCGUACAAGUUGAACUCUCCAAUUGGCAGAUUUUCUCCCUGAAAAUCAUUUUCACCAAAAUUAUGUGUUACUGAAGGGUGAUCUAGUGGUAGCUGCAACUCCAAAUUGCUAUUUGGUGGCAGCACUGGGUUUAUCGACUGAGGGUAUGUGAUAGUAUCUUGUUGAAUAAGAUUUCCAGGAUAAGAAAAUAUUUGAUUUUGUAGUUGCUGGCCAGAGUUGGUGAGAGUUUGUUCUUCACUAUGAUUUCUAUAAGAAAACGAAUGGUCACUAGGUGAUUGCUGAGGUGGAGAAACCAAUUGUUUACAUGAUUCACCUUCAUCAGUAGUCGAAGUACCAUGCUUCUUCUUUUUCUGUUUUCUCUCUAUGCGAGAGAAAACAAAUUCCCUCUACAUGAAUUAAAGGCAAAAACACCAUCAGGAAUGCUGUAUUAUCAAUUAAUUUUCAAAUUUUCAUAGGCAAUGCUAGAUUACUACUCAGCAAACUUCUAGAAGAAACAAAACAACAGGUUAGCAAUAGGCAACAAAGAUAUAUAAUCUAAAUGGACAUCCUGCCCACUGUCUAGACCAAAAGAAGUGAAAAAAAUUUUAAGACUUUGCCUAGUUAAUUAAUCCUAUUAUAUCUCCAACAACUAAUUGGCAUGCAACAUAUAUUUUAUUACACAGCAUUUUACCAGACUAAAAUUUUUGUAAGAUUCACAAAACAUGCGAAGCCAAGAUCUAACUCCAAUGGUAAGGCGCUGCUUUCUUAGGACUCAGGACCUUGAUUCGAGCUUCAAUGAAUGCACAAGUUAAUAAUAAUAAUAAUAAGAGUCAUAAAACAGAGCUCACAUCAAAACAACAAAGAUCAUACCUUAUAUCUGGGGUCGUCCUUCACAUGGUACUCAUGUAUAAUCCACUCGGUAAUAGCUUCCUUAGAAGCAAGACCAUGACGGUAGAAAGUCAAAAUCUUUUUGAUACCCAUAAGGCCGUUUCUAGCUUCGAUUUGGGAAACUCUACUUGUAAUUUUCCAGUGCCCUGCUUUUGUUCUUCUGUGGGCACGGUUACUCUUCCUGUACUUAUAAUAAGGUUCACAGAAGAAGUACCAAACUUGAUCCUCGGACUCUGUUUUUGAUUCCGCUGCAUCAUAAAAAUUAUAUUAUGCCAAUUAGUUCAGCUAGUAAAAUCUACAGGUACAGAAGGUUAGAGAGAAAAGAAGGGAAAAAAAAAUUAGAUAUACAUACUUGCCAAGUCCCAAGGCUCAAGGCUGCAGAUAUCAACAAUAUCCUUGAUAGGGUGAUGUGAGAAAUGGGGAUUAAGCCUCUUCUCCACCAGAUGAUAGAGGAUUUGUUCGUUGGAUGGCUGGAGUUUGUAGCCCAAAAGAUUCUCCAUCUCAGAAUCUUUUUGUUAACUAAUACUGCAAUAGUUGGUAAGGAUCUGAAAUUAACCUCGAAGAUUUCUCCAUCAUUAUUUCUAAUUCAAUACAGUCACAGUGGCAUCUCUCUCUGGUUUGAUGGGAAGAAAGUUUUGCCCUGUGAGAAAGAGUGAGUGGAUGAUAAUUUCUCUACAUUCUCAUGGCGUAGUGCUGACAGUGAGACAACUUUUGCUUGUUUCACCCGCGGCGUUGAAUAGAGUAUCGAGCGAGUGACAGAAUUUAAAUGACAGAAAAUAUGGGAAAUUUAUAAUAUCCUCUUACAGGUUUAGCAUCAUCUUCUAAAACGACAACGUUUGUCAGAUUCUAAUUUUAUUCGUGCUUUUAACUAUUUUUUCAACACACUUCCCUGUCCUGUUUGUGCAGAAAUUAUCAGUUAACUUUGUACAGUCAACUUUCCACUAGAGCAUCUCCUUCUUGGAGAGGCGGUUAUUUGUCUCAGUCAAAUACUUUUCUACCGCUGUCUCGUUAUUGAGAGUAGUGAAAUUUGAUUUAAUUUAUAUUAUUACUUUUUAAAAUUAUCUUUCUCAAAAAUAAAAAUUAUACGAAAAAGGUCUUUUUCAACCCGAAGUUUGACUUAAUUAUUUUUUUUUAUUUUUUAAAUAAUAAAUUAUUUCAUCUAUACUUUUUAAAUAAUAACACAAAACAUCUUUUUUUGAAUUUACAGUUAAUUUACUGUAUAAUUCGUUGAAAAGCAAAACAAGAUUUCAAUUAAAUAAAUGUAAACUAUUUUAAGAAGGCUCCUCCUAACCAUGAUCUAGUUCUUGACAAAUUUCUUAAUUGUACAGUAAAUUUAUAUAUCUAGUUUUCAUUAGAGUCUAGAUUUAUAUUGUAAUAUAUAUAAAUUAUGCUCCGUAUUCUCCCAAUUUCAAGAAUUUCAGCCAUAUUUCCACACUGCUAGCGGUAAUUUGGUGACAUGAGACUUAGCCCAAGUGGCUAGAGCCACUCCCUCACAAAUGUGAGGGAAGUGGUUCGAGCCUCCGCAGACGCAUUGCAGUGGUUUAAUUUAAAUGUCCUUUCUUGGAGCCCCAGAGCUUGAGUGAAAGCAGUCUUUCUCCCAGGCUGGGAGUUGACAUCCCUCGAAUAUUUGAGAGGAUUAAAAAAUCUGAACGGUGCCAUAUCAUCAUUAAUGUCAACAGGUCUCAGUAUAUAUAUAUAUGAUUGUACAUAUCAUGCAACAUUCGAUAGCCAAUUAACAUGUGCGCUGGUCUCUCAAAAAACAUGUUAACUAGUUGAAGCCAAUUUUUUUUUCUUUCUUUUAGCAACAAUUUCUUGGAAAAUGUGCCCCAGGUUAAAUAAAAAAAUUUAAAAUUUUAAGUAAUUCUAUUUAACUAACAACUCAGAUUAAAAUUAUGAGAAAGAGGUAAAAAUUUGAAAAUUUGGUUAGAAUUUCAUAUAUUUCUCCAUCUUAAAUUUAUAUGGUAUAUUCUUCUACAUACAUUAACUACAAAAUUUAAAAAUAAUUUUUUUUGUUAAAAAAAAAUUCCUAAUACGACAUAAUUCCUAAUACAAAUUGAAAAUUUGAAAAUUAAUUGAUAACACAGCAUUCCUGAUCAAACUUCUUUAACUUUCGUAGUUAUUUGUUAACAAUAAAUAAUGGAUAAAAUAUAAUUUUUCAAAAAAAAAAAAAAGAAUCAAAGUAUGGACGCGUUGCCCAAGUAGCUUAAGACCCCACGAUGCGACACCACUUUCCUUUGGUUCCUUCUUUGAUUUUACAGUUACAAGUUACUUUCCCUCCUCCUUCACAAACAUGCACCCUUUUCCAGGAAGUAGUUUGCUCGGAUUGGAUGGUGAGAUUCCAGUGUUCCACAUAUGAUCGAAUACGAACCCAGCAAGAACUAAAGGACAGAAAAACUUAAACCAAUUAUCUUGACCUUAUGCUACACAGAGAUGCUGGAUACAGACCAAAUGGAGUAUCCAAUUAGUCUAAACAACAAUUUCGUUAGUAUGCUGUAACGAAUCACAAACAUUACUAGACAACAUAACAUUAUCAAUAAUAAUAGAAGUUUCCUCCUAAGAGGAUUUCAUAGUUGUUUACAAUGCUGCUUAAGAUUACAAUACUUUCCUCCUAAGAGGAUUUCAUAAUUGUCUACAUGCUGCUUAAGAUUACAGUACUUUCCUCCUAAGAGGAUUUCAUAAUUGUUUACAUACUACUUAAGAUUAUAGAACUUUUCUCCUAAGAGGAUUUUUCAUAGUUUUUUACGUGCUACUUAAAAUUACAGUACUUUCCUCGUAGAGGAAUUCAUAGUUGUUUACGUGCUACUUAAGAUUACAAAGCACAGAGUACAAUAAAACGGAGUGAAGCAUUAUCACCCAUAAUGAUAUGGUAAAGUUAACAAUAUUACUUCUAAGAAGAUUUGAUUGUUGUUUUAAAUUUUGCUUCUUAAGGAAAAUCCUCCAGUAGUUGUUUUAUCCAUGCAUCGUUGUAAGCUGUGUUUCUGCCACUGCUAUCCUCUGCACCAGCUGAAGCUUCUCCAUCUGACUUUGAUAGGUUAAAGUCAGAGGUAAGGGUUUGUCCAGUCUCUUUUCGAGAGUUUUCAUCCGGAAAAGCCCUCGGGAAAUUUAUCAGGUGAUUUACCUGCUCAUCACGAUAAAUUUGAUAGUCAGAAAAAUGACAAUUAUCAAAAGAACUAUUAGAAUAUAUUAAUUCUUGUUCUUGAGAAAUUGGCGUCUGCACUGCAGAAAAAGAGGCGUCAUUUGGCCCAUUGUAGCCAUCGUAUGACUUGAGUUCUCCAACUAGCAGACAUUGAUCGUUGUCAAGCAGUUCUUUCACCCAUGCAACGUUGUCAGUAGUGUUUGUCUCACUGCCAUCCUCUGCAUAAGCUGAAGCUUCUCCAUCUGAUUUUGAUGGAUUAAAGUCAGGGAUAAGGGUUUGUCCAGUUUCUUUACGAGAGUUUACAUCCUGGAAAGCCCUUAGGGAAUCGAUGAGGUAAUUUACCUGCUCAUCACUGUCAAUUUGACAAUCAGAAAAAUCACAAUUAUCAAAAGAACUAUUAGAAUACAUUAAUUUUUCUUCUUGAGAAAUUGGUGUCUGCAUUGCAGAAAAAGAGGCAUCAUUUUGCCAAUUGGAGCUACCGUAUGCGUUCAGUUCUCCAAUUGGCGGAAGUUGCUCCUGAAAAUUAUUUUCUGCAAAAUUAGGUUGAUCUAGUGGUAGCUGCCACUCCAAAUCGCUAUUUGGUGGUGGCAGGGGGUUUGUGGCACUAGCUUCUCCACUAUAAUUUGUUGCAGUAAUAAAAUGGUCACUUGGUAACUGAGUAGGAGAAUAAUUGGGUAAUACCCAAUUAUUCGCAAGAGAGUACAUAUUUUGUUCACCAUGAUUUUCCAGACAAGAAAUUGAAUUGUGAUUUGGUAGUUGCUGUGGGUAUUUGAGAGUAGUUUCUUCACUAUGAUUUAGUGGUAGCGGCUGGUGUGUGUGAAUAUUUUCACCAUUACUUGGUGAUAGCUGAGUUGGGGGGUCUUUUGUUAUUGACUGAGGAUAAUAAAUGGAAUUGUGAUUUUGUGAUUGCUGCGGAGGGAUGGUGGGAGUGUUUUUUUCACUAUGAAUUCCAUUCGAAAUCGAACGGUCACUAGGUGAUUGGUGAGGAGGAAAAACCAGUUGUUGACUUGAUUCUCCUUCAUCAAUUGUCGAAAUACCACUCUUCUUCUUAUUCCGUUUUCGUUUUAUGCAACACAGAACAAAUUCCCUCUGCAUAAAUUAAAGGCAAAACCGAAAUAAGGAAUAAUGAUGCACUAUCAAUUAAUUUUCAGAUAUUCGUUAGCACUGCCAGAAUUGCUACUCACCAAACAACAACAGAUUCAUUCAUCAGGUCAUGCAAACGCUUUCGGACACUUAUUUGUAGUUGCAUUUUAAAUACCGUCACAAUUUCUUUCACCGAUCCUACCCAUUAACGUUUAAGUAAUAGGCAACAAAGAUGUACACCUUAAGACGGCCCGGUUAACUAAUCCUAUUAUAUAUCUCCAAUAGACACAAUAAUCUGGCAUGCUUCACCAAUUAAUCACGUCAAUCAUCAAGAAGAGCUAGCCUUAUUAUACAUCCAACGAUUUAACAGUGCAUAAAAGAAAUGAACUUUCAAGUGAGUCACAAAAACAAAUUAGGCUCAUACCUUAUAACUGGCGUCGUUCUUGAUAUGGUACUCAUGCAUACCCCAGUCGGUUAUGAAUUCCUUACGAGGAAGACCACGACGGUAGAAAGUCAAAAACUUUUUGGUACCAGUAAGGCCGUUUGUAGCUUCGAUUUGGGAAUCUUUACUAGUUAUAUGCCAGUAGCCUGCAUUGGUUCUUCUGUGGGCGUCGUUACUCUUCCCGUGCCUGUAACGAGGUUCAUAGAAAAAGUAACAAGCUUGAUCCUCAGACUCAGUUUUUGAUUCCGCCGCUUCAUUAAAAAUAUAUGUCGGGUGCCAGUUAGUUCAAUUGGAAAAAUCUUUCAGUGCAAGCGCUUAGAGAGAAAUUGAAAAAAAAAAAAAAAAUUACAUAUACAUACUUGGUAAGUCCGAUGGCUCAAGGCUGCAGAUAUGAUCAAUAUCCUUGAUAGGAUGAUAUGAGAAAUGGGGGUUAAGCCUCUUCUCCUUGAUAAGUCGGAGGAUUAGUUCAUUAGAUGGCUGGAAUUUGUACCCACUCUCCAUUUCAGAAUUUUCUUUUUUUUUUUUAUAACAAUAAAAGGAAGUUCAAAGGAAAAUGAGAGUAUGUAAUUCAAAACAGUUACAGUGGUAUCUCUCUCUCUGGUUUGAUGGGAACAAUUUGCACCGGGAGACCCAAAGAGUGAGUGUGAGUGUGAUCAUGUUACUCAAUUUAUACAAUCAAAGAGUGAAGGCGUUAACUCCGCGUCCCCAUGCGCGUUGUGCUACAGUGAGAGAGCUUCUGGUUGUUUCUCCAACGGUGUUAACUCUACAUUCUCACAAUCAAUUACUUGGAGGCCACUCAAUGAACAGAGGGACAAAAAUAAUAUGGAAAAUUGUAAAAAGUAUUUGGCCAUCAGCUUCUUACUAGCAUAGUUUGAGUCUUGAGACCCUACCACCAUCCUCUUAUUGGAUAGAAGUGUUUGCGAAUCAGAUUUUACGGAUUAUAAAUUUUUAAUUGAAUUCAAUAUACGGAUUAAUAAAAUGCAAUCCAAAUUCAAUCCAUACGUCUGAGGAUUGGAUGCAGAUUUGAUCUAAUCCAUAGACAAUUCAUCAUUUUGCGGAUUGAUUUGCAGUCUAAAAAUUUUUAAUUAUGUCCAAUCCACGAACUAAUUAAAAUGAAAAAAAUUAAUAUAAAAAUAAUUUUACUACCAAUCAAAUUUAAAAUUAAAUAAGAUUUAAAUAAAUUAAUUGUUUAAUACAUUCAAAGUUUUAAAAUAUAACACGCCAAAAAGAAAAAAUCACAUUUGCGUAGAUUAGUACAUGAAAAUUAACUAUUUAGGAAGCUAUAUUUGUUUGUUUAAUUAUUUUUUAUUUUAUAUUAUUACAGGACAAGAUAUAAUAUGGUGUUAAUGUAACGAUAUUUUAACUUGUUUAUUUAUUAGUAAAUACUAAUGUAAUUUUUACAAAUUUAAUUUUUUAAUUAAAUAAAUAUAUUUUUAUUAUUUUAUGGAUUCACGGAUUUUUGUAGAUGUACAGAAGUAAAUGCAUAUCCAAUCUACCAACUGCGGAUUUUUAAAUUUUCAAUCUAAUCUAUUAAUCCACAGAUCGAAUUUCUAUGGAUCAAUUGGAUUGAGUGGAUCGAAUUGGAUUCUAAACACCCUUAUAAUAUUAGUUUAGCACCAUCAUCCUCCUCCUCCUUUUAGUUCUGAUAUUUAAAUGCUGACAUUUAAAUUGAAAAAAAAAAUUUUGAAAAAAGACUAAUAAAAUAAAUUAUAACAUUUCAUACUCUGAAAUCAUAAAUUGUUAUAGUUUAUUUUAUCAAGUUUUAUCAGCAUUUAGUUUCUUUAUAUUUUUCCUAAUAUUUAUUUUAAAAUUUUUUAUAAAAUGACAACAGAAUAACAGUAAAAACUGUAUAGAAUAAUUGUUAACUAUAAAAAUAAUGAGAAACGUGUACGUGGGGUUAGCAAUAAUUAAAAAAAUUAAUAAUUAUUAAAAAGAAAAAAACCGCUAACAUUAUCGGAUUAUUUAUUAUGAGGUCACAUGACUAAGGGGAAUUCUAGAAUCUUCUACUACUUUCAUUCUCUUUCUCUGCAAUUUCGUUAUUUUAAUUUCACUGAUGAACAGAAAGGACUGUGAUGAUGUACGUAACCCCAGACUGUGGAAGAGCCAGAGGUCGGGGCAGAUUUUAUUUAGAAAAUUUUCGAGGUGUUUAUAUUCAAUUUUAGGUUUAAAGUGCUGGUUUUGAUGAUUAAAAUGUAAUUUUGUAUCUAUUAUUUUGUUAAUUUUUAAAGCCAGCAGGAACAAAAAAAUUAUAAAUUUUAUUGGAGGCAAAUAAAAAACUUAAGUGAAAAUUUAAUAUGGAUUUUUUUGAAAAAUUCCGCUCAAAGGACCAGCUGUCCACUUUCUUCACUACUUAUUAAUUUAUUUUAUCCACUAAUAUUUAGGAUAUAUUUAUAAAUAUUUAUUUCUUUAUACAAAUUAUUAAGGAGAAAUAAACUUUGUGAUUUUAACUUCAAGGAGGUAAUAAAAUCCGCCAUUAGCUCAAGGUUUUAUUUAUAAUUAGCGUGUCUUAGUAAAAUUAUCCAGAAUUUUUCUAAUUAAGUAGACAUUAUUUUUUGAAGUCUCUUUAAUUUACAAUUAAAUAAAAUUCAACCAUUGAUCCACUUAGUUCCAUUGUUUUGUUAUUUAUUUUUACAUUGAAAAUUUUGAGUGUAAGUUGCAAUAAAUUUAACUUCGAAAAAUCAUUUUCUGAAUUGUAAAGUUCAAAAAUAAAGUUGUAACGAAUUGUAUAGUUUUCUCAUCCAUCAAUCAAUAAAUCAUAUCAUUUUUUGUUUUCCAUUGCUAGAGUUGAUGAUUGAUUAUUAAUUUAAAAUUUAUACGACAACCACAUUUAUAAUUAUAUUUUAAAUUGUCAUUACAAAUUUAGGCACAAAUCUCCGAAAUUAGUUAUUUAUCAGAAAAGUACCUUGGUUUACGUCAUGAUUAAAUUAUUGUAACAGAAUAAAGCAUCUCCAUCUUUGAUCAGUCGUGGAAAAGCAAGCACAUGUCUCUUUCAGUCUCCGAAGGAAAUUUGUUUGGAUUGGAGAAGUCUGAAGGUGUGAAACUCUCUUUGCCUUCAAAACUUUUUGAUAACAACAAUGAUAAAAAAUGAAACUUUUCAAAUUACGAACAUUUACAAAAGUAUGCAUCUCUUUCCCUCUAAGUCAGUUUUUGAUCUUGAAUUUGUUAGAGGUUUGUGCUAAUAGCAGUAACCAGUAAACUCUUCGGCUACGUUUGGAAAAUCGAAUUGGACUGGAUUAACUCUAAAAUUAGAUAAGAUUAGAUUUGAUUUGAUUAUACUGGAUUAUAUAGUAUUGUCUUUUGUUUGGUAUAAUAAUCAAACAAAACUAUGUUAAAUUUAAUUUAAUGAAGCUAAAAUAACUAUUUAAAUAAUAUAUUAUUUUUUAAAUCAUAUUACUAUUUAUUAAAUUUAAUAUUCAGAUUUUAAUAUUAUUGGAAUUAAAUAAAUUGAAUAAUUUUUUUAUGUUUAAUAUAUUACAUACUAGUUAAAAUAAAUUAUUGAAUUAAAAUUUUGAUUUAAUAUUAACUUUUAAAAAAGUUAAAAAUGAAUUAUUGAAUAAACUUUUGACAUUAGUAACAAAUUUAAACUAUUAAAUAUUUAGUCCUAUCUAAACCCAUAUGAAAAUGAGGAUUAAUAGUCCUAUGAAUGUUGGAUUAAAAUUUUGACUAAUUUAUUAGUCAUGACAACCAAACAUAACUCUGGAUUGGACUAAUUUUUUUAUCCUUUAAAUUAGUCUAAUCCCACCUUUUAUCCAACAUCAAAACAUACACACACAUAUAUAUAUAACACUAUAAAAAUUAUACUAAUAAUUAUAUUAGAGUUCCUAAAAAGGAACUCGAACCCAUGCCCUCACUUUGGUGAGGGCAUGUAGGGAUGGCAAAAAAAUCUGGAUCUGAAAAAUUAAAAUCCGCACAGAUCUAGAUGCACUUGCAUUUAGAAAAUUGGAUAUCCGGAUCCGGAUGAAUUUUAUUUUAAAUUAAAAAUUGAAUUAAAAUAUUUAUUAACUUAAAUUAAAAAAAAUAUAUAUAAUCCCUAACCCUAAGUCAAUAAUGCAUUCAACUUUCACACACUUACCGACUCAUGGUAGCUCACCUCACCAGCAACCAUGACCCUCAAAUCUCUAAUGCCCAAAACCAAAGGGCUAGUAACAUUGUCGACCGAUCGCCAUCUUCCUCGCAGCCUCACCUGGCCUCGUGUUGAAGCUCUCCUGAGCACGUUGUUGUCACUGCACGUUCCACACCUUGCCAUCAUCGAAGCCUUGCCUGAUUGGCUUGUUCUUGUCGGUAGUUGUUACUGCACGUUUCUAUUAAAUUUUCUGUUCUUUCUAUUAAUUACAUUGCUUUUUUUUGGUUAAUAAUUUGGUAUUGUGGCUAAAUGUUUGAUUGUAUUUGAUGAGUUUAAUCUAAUGUAAAUAUGUUAAAACUUGAAAAUGUUGCUGGCUUGAUUUAAUUUCCUUGCUGAUUUAAUUUAAUUUAAUUUUGCUUAAUUUUCUUUGCUGAUUUGUUUAAUUAUUUUAAUUAAAUGCAUUAAUUUUCAAUAUAAUGUAAAUGCUUAAUCUCUUUUUUUUUUUCUUCACAUAUGCUAACUCACUUUGCAUAUUACUUUAAUUAGGUUUCGGGAUUAGUUGAACAUGGCCGAAGGGGAGCAAGGAAAUAAUUUUUCAUUCUCUCCAAAUAGCAGCAUCAUAUGUUGGAUUCGAAACUUGGAAUUUCCAUGGAUUUGUAGUGUUUUUAUUUGCGGAUUUUAAUGGUGGUGUGCUUGAAUUUAUGUUAUUUUUUGUUUGAUUUAUAUUGUGAUAUUUUUAUUUGUGGAUUUAUGAUGUUGUUGGAUUUUAUUUACUUAUUCAUGUUGAACUGUUAAUUGUUAAAUUAUGAUUUAAUUCUAUUUGAUAUUAUUAGAUAAUUAUUAAGUAAAUUAUUUAUUUUUAAAUUAUAUAUUAAAUUUUAAUUUUUAAUUUUUGCUGAUUCGCAUAUCUGGAGUAUCCGUCCACAUCCAUUGCGGACUUUAUGCGCAUCUGGAUCCGCAAAAAAAUGUGUGGAUCCAAACGUAUAAGUGUAAAUGCGGAUCCAGUAUCCGGAUCCGGAUUUUGCCAAUGCUAAGGGCGUGGGUUCACCACGUGGUCCAUGGCCAAGUGGUUAUGCAUAUAUAUGGUUAAGGUUGAUUACUUGACUAUUGAGUUGACGGAGAAAAUACAGUUCAAAUAUCACAUGGAGAACUAAAGAAGUCAUUACCAUUCAUGGAUGGCCAAUUUAUAGAGCAUAGCCCCCAAAAACUUUCAUGAACACGGCCAAAUUUCAAGAACUAGGCCAUAAACUACAAUUAAUAACAGAGCUAGGAAUGGAUCCAGCAUGCAUGAAGCAUUUGAAAAAUUUAAAAUUUCAACAUUAUUAUUCCCCGACACAAGUGUAAUUGUGGGUUACACAUGCUAUUGAAAUAAUUUCUUGCAUAGCAAGUGGAUAUCUGAUUGAAGAGGAAGAGUGAGUCCAUUUUCUAGGAUGUGUUGCUCACACACUUAUUUAUGAAUUGAUAACGGCGUAUAAGUUAUUCUUCGACUCUUUCUCAGCCCCUUGAACAGUAUUUUCUGCAACAUGAUUUCUAUCAAAUCACAAAGGCACAUUUUGUGAUUUGGUAGUUGCUGAGGUCCGACCUGAAAUAAAAUGCCAGAGUACUUACUUUUAAUACUUAAGUGUCAUACUCAACGUGGAUAACUUGAUAUUGAAACAGCCCAUAAGGCAAGCUCUUUCUCUCACCUUUCAGAAGCCAUUUUCUGCAACAUGAUUUCUGAAAUUGCAUGUAAUAUGAUAAAUUGCUAGAUGCUAAGCUUGUACCUGAAGUUAGAACCACAGAGGAAAAGGAACCCUUUUAAUCAAAAUGUGUUUCUGAUACCUUCUGCUAGAAACCAAAGCAAUUAUAUCAAGAUUGAUGGGUAUCUGAUGAUACUUACCUAGCAUUGAAGAGGCUCGAAGUUGUAUAUAGCAACUUCGUUGACUGUUUGGACAGAGAAAUCAGGGUCAAAACUCAUCUUGUUCAGAAGAUUGAUGGUAAUUUCUUCAUCUUACAAGAUAUCCCUUCUCUGAAUUGAAGUGCUAGAGCCUUAGGUAGCACUCUCUCCGAUUCUGUUUUCAUAAGAAAAAUUUCGCCUUGCGAUUUACAGAGAAAUGGCGUGAUCAUCUAUUUUUAUACACGCAAGCUUGGUGAUGGUCGGUAUCUGGGCUGAGUUGGGAUGAUUAACCCGCGUGAGAAUUUUGAAUUUUCCUUUGACAGCGUCAAGGAGAGAUCCGUUUCCUUCAACAUCGUACGGCCAGCUUUCCACCAGAGAGUAUCUCCCUCUCCUUCUUUGAGAAGGAGUGAAGUGAAGUUGACGUGUCCCCUUCCUUGAGGAGAAGUAGUUGUUUGCCGUAGGCCCUCAGCGAGCAUAAUACUCUCGAAUAUUCUGCUUCUUUUGUUUUCUUCCGCUGUCUCCUUCUCGUUCAAGUAGUCAAAAAUCCACAUCAUUUUUUUAUCCUUUUUCGUCGCGAGUGUUUGUGCUGUUAAAUUUCUAAGCUGCUUCUGGUAUCUUCACCUUAUGGGCUCUAUUUAUUGGAAGCCAUUGGGCUUGUAAGUCUGAGCCCUUCUUGGAGGUUGAAGGAAAAGGUUUUUACUUACUCGAAUUUGGUUCACUCUUCUCUCCUUUGACACUUCGGUGGCAAGGCGUGGGUGUGUGCCUGCAAGGAUACCGUGACGCUCAAGCAAGGGCGUGUAGGAAAAUUAUGAUGUGAGGAAGAUAGAAUAAAGAGAAUUAGAGAAAGAUUAUGACGGUAGUGUUUUUGAACAGAGCUUAUGGGAUGUUCUGAAUGUUUAAAUUUGUUUAAGUUUGUUUCCACGUCGUGCUCCAAUUAGUACUUUUACCACUUUUUUCUCUAGAGUUGGGAUAUAUUCGUAGUUAAUAAUUUAUUCAUAAAUUUAUUUAUUAUUUUGAACUAACCUCAAUCUUCACGUACUUUUCUUAAAAAGUUAUAAAUUAUUUUUUUAGUGGGCUUAUAUUUAUAUUUAGGGUUUCAUAAAUCUAUUUUAUCUUUACUUUUUAAAUAAUAAUAUAUUUCAUCCUUACUUUUCAAAUAAUAACUCAAAACACUUUUUGUUUGUUUUACAGUUAAAUUAUUGUAUAAUUCAUUCAGUGCAAAAUAAGAUUUCAAUUAAAUAAGCAUAAACCAUUUUAAACGUCAAGAACAAUUAAAUAACAUAUGAUUUUUUUAUAUAAAUGUGAAAUUUAAAAAUGACUCAAUGAAACAAAAAUAACGCUAAUAUAUAUGUAUGUAUGUAUAAUAAUAAUAAUAAUAAUAAUAACUUUUCAAACAUGGAUAACUUACCCUAUUAAAAUUAUGGAUAAGCUACAAGAUAAAAAAGAACACACUCCAAGGUAUGUUUGGGGUGUGGGUUUAUAACGGUUUUCAGUGUAACAUAAACUCAAACCAGCGUUUUGCUACAAAAGUAAUUGCACUAGUCUGUAUAAUUUUUUAAGAUUGUACGAUAAUCGAUGUGCAAAUUGCACGUCUAAAUUGCGCGGGGGCUUUUUUAUUUUUAACUAUUAUUUAAUAUUAACUAUUAUAUUCAACACCAAUCAAAUAUUAUAUUGCUUUAAUCUAUUAAUUUAUGUUUAACUAAUAAAUAAGAAAAGAUAUUAAAGUCCACUACAGAUAAUUAUAUUUUUAUUGACAAAUUUAAAAAAUAAAUUAAUUAAAAUAUUAAAAUAUUUAUUAAAUUCAUAUAAUAUUUAUUCAAUAUGAAUAAAUAAUAACUAUUUAUUAUUAUUUAAAAUUAUGAAAUAAAAAAAAAUACAUAAUACAGUUCAUACUCUACAAAACAUGGUACUGAAUUAUUUAAUACAUUCCAAUACAAUAUAAUCUAUUACAAUCCGUUGCAAUCCAAUACAAUGUGGCACACCAAACGCAUCAUUAAUGCAGUAUUCUAGUGUAUUAAAUCUAUGUUUUUAUGUCUUUGGUGUUUUUUAAAGUAAAUAAAGAAGUCGGUAUUUACUUUUGACAAAAUAAUAGUUUUGAUUGGUCAUUUAUUUAUUUAUCUCGACCAUAUUGAAAUCAGAGACAAGCUAAAAUAAUAAUAAAAAAUCAUUGUAGUACUUGUGAAAUCUAUUUUUUUAUUUUGAUUUCAAUUAAACAAUUUCAAGUCAUUAAUCCUUUAGAGUUUGAUUUCCGAAUUUUAUCUUUUUGAAUAUUAUUAGAACCUAUGACCUGAAUUUUAGAAACACUACUCCUAACCAUGAAAGAUAGAUCUUGACAAAUUUCUUAAUUGUACAAUAAAUUUGUGUGUGCGCGUACCAUUUAGUAUACAAAUGAAGAAGCUUCUACAUAUCAGACCUAUAAGCUCAAAUGUACCCUUACCCAACAUCAUAUAAACUCCUCAAAAGAAUUAAUGACGAGAACAAUGGUUUCUUCUUGUCUAUCCCUUGACUAAAAACAAUGUCUGCAUUAUUGAAUGAGACGUCUACGAAGACACAACAGUGAAAUAUAUGCGUGUGGGGUCGGGUUCAAAUUGAUGAGGAGCUAUAGUGAGUCAAAUUGAAGAAAAUUCUGCUCCAUAUACUCCCAAUUUCAAGACUUGCAGCCAUAUUUCCACACUACUAGCAGUAAUUUGGUCAGGGGUGGCUUUAAGUAUAGGCCAACAAGGCGAUUGUUUAAGGCCCUAUAUUUUUUAAGGCUUCAUUUUUUUUUUGUAUUUCUUAAUAGUUAUUUAAUUAAUAAAGAUCUUUUUAAAAAAAUUAUGUAUUGUAAAAAAGUAUAUUAGACAUCUUUAUAAUUAACGGUUAUACCACAACUAAAAAUUAUUUUUUUCUGUAGAAAAUCAAUAUUUGGUAACUUUAAUGUUCAAGAGAUAUAAUUAAUAAAAUUGUUUAGCCAUUAAUUCAUUCAUUAUUAGUUUUUCCAAAAAAAAUAAUAAUUUUUUUACCUUUUAAGUUUCCUACAAAAAUUAAAUUCUUUGAUUUUUAAUAUUCCUUUUAAUUUUCAUUAAAACCUUGUAAUAUAAAAAUAAUAAAUAAAUAGAUUCAUUUAAAAAAGAAAAAAAAUUAGUUUCUUAAAAUACAACGUGCAUGUCUAUUAUUUGAUAAUCAAUUCAUCAUCUCAACUUUUUACUAUUCUAAAUAGUCUCUUUGAAAAUAAUAUUGUUUGUAUUUAUUUUUUUGUUUAUCUUUGUAAUAAUUUUAAUGGAAGUAAAAAAGAUAUCUUCUUGGUUAUUUUUUUAGGUUUGGUUUUUGAAAAUUUUUAAGAUAUUUUUUAUUACUAUUAAAAUUCAAGAGUUAAAAGUCGUAUGAAUUUUUUAGUCUUAUAUUUCAUUAAGUAUUAAAAUUGUAAAAUAAAAAAAGGCCCCAUAAAAAAUUUUGCCUAAGGCCUCAUAUACUCUAAAGUCGGCCCUGAAUUUGGUGCACCGAACACUGUUACCACCUGUAACAUCCCAUACCCAAUUAGCAUGUGCCUUAGUUUGCCAAAAAACAUGUAACUCGUCAUAAGCCAAUUAUUAUUUUCUUUUAGCAGCAAUUUGUUGAAAAAAGAGUCCUAACUUAGGUGAUUUUCAACCAAUUCUAUUUAGCUGACCACUCGAGGUCAAAUUAUAAUAAAGAGACAAGGGCUUGAAAAACUAAUCAGAACUUUGUACAUCUCACAAUAUUAAAUUUAUAUUGUGUAUAAGUAUAUAUUCCUCUAAAUUCAUUAACCUCAAGAUAGAAAAAUAAAGGGAUAUUAUCAAUUUACUACCAAAGUUUUACUGACAUAUCAUGUCAGUAUCAAGGUUUGCCUAAAAGUACAUUUUACUACCAAAGUUUUGCGCGGUUAUCAUUUUACUACCAAUCCGUUAAUAACGUUAAAAAAUUGCUGAUGUGUUGCUGAUGUAAUAAGGGCAUAAAAGACAUUUCCGGAUAUAAGGGCAUUAAAGACAUUUUGAGUUCAAGCAAAACGCAGCGUUUUGACAGAAUAAUUAAGAACAAAAUCGACCGGCCCCCUCUCUCAUUGUGAAACCUCCGUCUCCAAUCUCUCUUCGUCGCUGCUGAGUGACGGUCAACUCCACUACCGUUUGCGCUCUCCACUGUGAAACCUCCGUCUCUAAUCUCUCUCCCUCACAGCUGAGUGACGGCCGACUCCACUAGUGUUUGCGCUCUCUACUGUGAGUUGUUGACUCUGGCUUUUUAUUCGCUUAUUGUUCAUUAAUUUUUUCGUUAAUUAAAUUGUUAUUGUUUUUUGUUGUGAAUAAUACUUGAAUUUCAUAGAUUAUAAUAUUAAUUUUAUAGCAUAAUUUUUUGUUAAUGUGUUCUUUGUCGUUGUCCAUGGUAUUGACAUUAGAAUUUUGUUAAUUUUGUUAAUUUUUUGUUAAUUCUGUUAUUGUUGGAGAUCUAGCUUUGAGAAUUUUUCCCUAUUUUUUGUGGAUCUGGUUACCAGUCUAAGAAUUUUUGUUAUUGUCUACAAAGGAAAGAACCAUUGUAAAGGGUUGAUUGAACCAGAUGAAUACAGUCUGCUGCAGCUGAAGAAUGAGGUGGUGAAGAUUACAAGUUAAGACGGGUUAACCACUCCUGAAAGUGUGCAAUUACUUGUCACCAGCCCAAGGAAUAAUAUGGAAGUUAUUGUAGAUACUGAUGCAAUGUUGCGGAUUAUGUUCACGGCACAUGACUCAUUACAAGUGCUAGUAUUUAAAGUCACUGUGUUGCCAACCCUACGUCCUGAUUUAGAACUUGGUGGGGUGAUACAAUUCCUGCUAGAUGCCUUAGGAGCUCAGCUAUCUGCAGAUCAAGUUGCAUGGGUAAAUGAAAGCGGAAAUGAACCACCAUCUAGACCUGGAGGCAUCCAUGGGCCACAAACAAACCUUACUGAGAAUGUUGGGUAUGAGACUGAUGUUGAUGAAGAUGAAUCACCUUCCAAGAGUAAAGGCAAAGAUGAACCACAAAUUGUUAGGAAUGAGAAUGUUCAGCAGAAUGUUGAUGACAACGACGAUGAUGAUUAGUUGUCAGAUUUUGACAAGAAAUUUGCUACUGAUGGUAGUCGAAUAAAUCACCAAAACAUAGCUGAGGAUGCAGAAGUUAUGGAUGAUGGGGGAUCUAGUUCUGACGAUGAAUCAAUUGAUGCAGAUCCUCAAUUUUUGGCAAAUACAUCUGACUCAGAUUUUGAUUUGGGCACUACUCAAUUGAAAGAUUAUAUUGAAGUACAUAUGUAUAAGCCAAGGUCUGAUGGUAAGCAUAGGCUGAGGUUAGAAGAUGUGUUUGAUGAUGUUGACCACUUUAGGAAGGUGUUAGGUGAAGUGAUGGUGGAUAAAAGCUUUGAAAUUACAAAGGUAUACAAUGACCGUAGGAGAUUUUACUGUAAAUGCAAGAUUGAUGGUUGUCCAUGGUAUGUGGUGGGAGGGAAAAUCAGAGGUAAGGGUGGAUUUGUAAUUAAAGAGUUGCAGAAUAAGCAUGAUUGCAGACAGACUGAAAUGUCAGUGAAUGUGACUAGCAGAUGGAUAGCAGAAAAAAUAAAGAGCAAAGUCGCUGUGGAUCCCCAGGUGAAGAUUUCUGUUCUUUACGAGUUUAUGUAAGAGACAUUUGGUGUAAGGAUAAGGAAUUUGAAGCUGUAUAGAGCCAUAGAGAGGGCAAGGACAGACAUUUAUGAAGACCAUGCAAGGGGCUAUGAGGAUCUCUUUCAAUAUGCUGCAGUGAUUCUAAAGUAUGAUCUAGGUGCAAUUUGCAAAGUACUUUGCGAUGCAGUAACUAGGCCAGAAAAAGUGUUAUUUCAGAGAUUUUUUUAAUGGCAUUUCCAGCCCAAAAAAAUGCGUUUCAUAAUGGCUGUAGGCCAUAUAUUGGGUUAGACGGAUGUCAUUUGAAAUCAAAGUAUGGUGGAGUUCUAUUCGCGGCUGUAAGUAUGGAUGCUAAUAAUGGAAUGGUUCCAUUAGCAAUAGCAGUGUGUGAGAUAGAGAACACUGAAACUUGUACAUGGUUUUUAGAAAUUCUGCAUUCGUAUUUCGAUAAUGGAUUAGAUCAGAUCACCUUUUGCAGCGAUAGGCAAAAAGGUUUGUUGGGAGCAAUUGGGAAUACAUGGGCGACUGCAUUUCAUUGGCCAUGUGCUAGACAUAUAUAUUCUAACUUCUCUAAAGAUUAUCCUGGAGUUACAUUGAGGAAUCUGUUUUGGAGAGCUGUCAGUAGCACUAAUAAGUUUGACCAUGCAGCUGCAAUGGAAAAGUUGAAAAAAGAGAAGUUAGAGGCAUGUCAGUGGUUGGAGAGAGAACUUGCUAGGUUUACUUGGUCAAGACAUGUAUGACAAGAAUUGCAAAGUGGGUCGCACAAGUCAUAACACUUCGGAGUGUUUCAAUAGCUGGAUCUUACCCCAUAGAGAGAGGCCUUGCCUGACUAUGCUUGAAGAAAUCCGAUGCAUGUUUAUGAUACUAUUCACAGAAAAAAGAAAAGAAGCACAAUCUUGGUUCAAUAUUCCACCUCGAGUGAAAAAGGAAUUAGAUGAUGCUUAUGAGACCGGAAGCAAGAUGACUGCAAUGGCUUCUGGUGAUCUUCACUUUCAGGUAUAAAUCUGAAAUAUUUUUUUUUGAAAUAUAUUUUUAUAUAGCUAAACUAUGACUAUAUCGAGUUUAGAAUGAAACACAUAUUUAUAAUUGCUUGAAAUUACAAUCUGAAUUCACUUCAAAAAUUCUAGUAGAGAAAAAGUUAUAUGUAUAAUAUAUGUUUUUUUAUUUACACUCCAUUUUGCGUAAUCUUCUUAUCAUUGAUUUAGAAUUAACUAGCAAUGAUAAUUCUUUAUAUUACACAAUAAAAGAGCAAGUUCUCUUCAAUUCUAGAAAUUUAGUUACGUGACAUUAUUUUUCCCUAUAUGCUUUUAAUUAUUGUGCUAUUGCUCUCAGGUUAAAGACAAGAGUUAUUAUCCAGCGAGAAGGUUCAUCGUUGAUCUGGUGAGCAAGUCCUGCGACUGUGGUCAUUGGGAACUAUUCGGACUCCCAUGUGCUCAUGCUAUGGCUGCAAUUAGUCAUGCAAGACACACGACAGAAGAGUACCUACCAAAAUACUUCACGAAACAAGCAUAUUUGAACACUUAUGCUGUGAUGUUUAAGCCAAUUCCUGAUAAGGUUACUUGGGACUCGUGUGAUAGACCAAAACUUUCUCCACCUGAGAUUACUAAGAAGAUUGGAAGACCGAAGAAGUCAAGGAAAAGGGCAGCCACUGAGCCAGUGAAAAAAAAAAAACAGAUCGUUCUAUAUCUGCUGCUCCUUUUGUGGUGGGAUGAACCACAAUAUUCGAAAGUGCGCAUUGAGACCAUCAAUAACAAGACAAAUAAGAGCUCAGAAUUAAGUAUCAAUGUAUUACUUUUUUAAUUAUUUUUUUGUAUACCGAGCUUAAUUCUUUCUUAAUUUUUGUUGAAUAUGUAAUUUUAAAUAGGGUCUCAGUGGGCCGGGAGAAAGUUCUAAUGCAGAAACUACUUCGAAGAGAAGAAAAAGAAUGGUAAAUGUUGGUUUGAAUAUGGAAUAAUUUUUAGUUUGUUGUAGUUUUUCAUAAUUUUUUUAUAUUUAUAUAUUUCAAUUUAAAUAGGUUGUGAGUAGUCCAGACGAGAGGUUUACGCACAGUAGGGGAAGAGGAGGUAACAUGGGUCGAGGUAGCAGAGUAAGAGGAGGUGACAGAGGAAUGUCAUCUAGAGGUAGAGGUCGAGGUAGCAGAGCAAGAAGAGGUACUGUGGUGUUUUUUGGUAUUGUUAUAAUUUUUUAAAUACUUCAUAGAUAAUGAAGUUAUAUACAUACAUACAUACAUACAUAUAUAUAUAUAUAUAUAUAUUGUGCAGGCCGAUAUGAAGCUGACAAUCUUUCUCCAAAUCCAACUCAAGGCUCACAAGCUUCACAUAUCAUAGAUGGUUAGCAGAGUGUUAUCGUUAGGAUAUUAUGUAUCUGAAAUGCACAAACUGUCACUAGUGCAUUAGGCUACUGUGGUGUUUUUUGAAAUGCACAAACUAUUAUUAGUGCAUUAGAUUGUUGUGGUGUUUUUUGAAUUCACAAACUGACAGUACUGUGAAUGGGUAUUUCAAGCACAAACUCUUAUUUUUCACCAUUGAUAAUGGAAGUACUUUGGAUUACUUUUGACUUGCUUGCAUAUUAAAUUAGUUCUAUUACAUUACUUUCUCAUAAAUAAGCCUAUCAAGAGGCCACAAAUAAAAACUACAACCAAUUUUAGCUUCGCUUCAAUGCAUCGUAGUCUUUCAUUCAUCUUCAGUACAUCUUUAUUUAGGUUCAAGCCAUAACUAGAUGUGCUGCUACACAUUUCUAAAUCUUCUUUUGCUACCCAUUGCCAAAAAUUACACUUUUUAUACCUGCGUAUCCAAAAUAGUUUGUUAGGAUUUUUCGAUGUAGUAGAUACCAUAGCACAUGCCUGCACUCCACAGUUGCAGUAUUUAGGGUAGCAGGUUGCUUCUGCAGGUUUCUUAGAUCGACCCUUAGAACUAAUGCUUCUGUGGCUGCUGGAGGCCAUUAUUUUGUUUGAAUUUAUAUGUGUGAAGGGUGAAAAAUUGUUUGGUUUUGACUAAAGAUAGGAAAGAGGUGGAUAUUUUGUUUUUAAUGAAUUCAAGUAUUUGUUGUGCCUUAUUCUUGUUGUUUUUGUACGAUAAAAGUGUUUAAAUUUCAGUACUUUUGGUGUGAGGUUGCUGGCGUUUAGUCUGAGGUUGCAGGUGUUUACUAUGGGGUUGUUGGUGUGUUUCAAAAUUACAGGUGUUUAGUAUCAGGCUGCUGUUGACAUAGGGUUGUUAGGGUUGAAAUGAGGCCACUGGUGUGUUUGAAAUAGGGUUGUUAGUGUUUAAGUGAGGUUGCUGGUGUGUUUGAAAAAGGAUUAUUAGUUUUCAAGUGAUGCAGGUGGUGUGUUUGAAAUAAGAUUGUUGAUGCUGAUAUGGGGUUGUCAGUAUUCAAGUGAGGUUGCUGGGGUGUUUCAAAUGGGUUUGCUAGUGUGUUUAUAAGGUUGCUGUAUUGAUUAUGACUGUGAGGCUGCUGGUGUUGAUGAAAUGGUUUGCUAAUAUGUUUGUAAGCCUGUAAAUUUUUGCUUUUGUUGUUUCUUUCUUUUCAAAAGGUAAAAUUGUCUUUCACGUUCCUGGGGUAUAAUAGACUUUUAAUAUAAUUUCCAUUGAGCACUAACGUUUUGGUAGUAAAAUGAUAACAGCGCGAAACUUUGGUAGUAAAAUACAUUUUUCGACAAACCUUGGCACUGACAUAAUAUGUCAGUAAAACUUUGAUAGUAAAUUGAUAAUAUCCCAAAAAUAAAUUUUAUUUUGGUAAAGAAAAAUUCCUAAUACAAACUGAAAAUUUGAAAAUUGAUUGAAAUACAGCAUUCCUCAUCAAAUUUCUUUAACUUUCGUAGUUAUUUGUUGACAAUAAAUAUUGGAUAAAUAUAAUUUUUCAAAAAAAAUAAUAAUAAAUAGAAGUACGGACGAGUUGCCCAAGCAGUUUAAGACCCCACGAUUGACAACCAUUUCCGAUUCCUUCUUUCAUUUUACAGUUACAAUUGACCUUCCCUGCUCCCUCACAAACGUGUCCCCUUUUCCAUGAAGUAAUUUGCUCGGAUUGGAUGGUGAGAUUCCAGCGUUCCACAUAUGAUCAAAUACGAAACCAGUAAGAACUAAAGGACAGAAAAACUUGACCUUAUGUUAGACACAGAUGCUAGAUACAAGACCAAAUGGAGUAUCCAAUUAGUCUAAACAACAAUUACGUUAGUAUGUAACGAGUCUCAAAGAUUACCAGAUAACAUCACAUUAUCAAUAAUAAUAGUACUUUCCUCCUAAGAGGAUUUCAUAGUUAUUUACAAUGCUGCUUAAGAUUGGUACUUUCCUCCUAAGAGGAUUUCAUAAUUGUUUGCAUGCCUCCUUAAAAUUACAGUACUUUCCUCCUAAGAGGAUUUUAUAAUUGUUUACAAGCUACUUAAGAUUACAGAACUUUCUUCCACCCAUGCAUCGUUGUCAGCAGUGUUUGUCUCACUGCCAUCAUCUACAUAAGCUGAAGCUUCUCUAUUUGUUAUCCAACACAGAACAAAUUCCUUCUGCUUAAAUUAAAGGCAGAACCUAAAUAAGGAAUAAUGCACUAUCAAUUAAUUUUCAGAUAUUCGUUAGCACUGCCAGAAUUGCUACUCAUCAAACAGCAAUGUAAAUGCUUUCGGACACUUAUUUGUAGUUGCAUUUUAAAUAACGUCACAAUUUCUUUCAUCUUGAUGCGAAGAUCCCGCCCAUUAAUGUUUUAAGUAACAGGCAACAGACAUAUAUACUUUAGACGCCAGGUUAACUAAUCCUAUUAUAGAUCUCCAAUAGACACAACAAUCCAGCAUGCUUCACCAAUUAAUCACUUCAAUCAUCAAGAAGAGCCAGCCUUAUUAUUAUAUAUCCAAAGCUAUAACAAUGCAUAAAAUAAAUGAACUCUCAAGUGAGUGACAAAAACAAAUGAAGCUCACACCUCAUAACGGGGGUCGUCCUUGGCAUGGUACUCAUGCACAACCCAGUCGGUCUUAACUGGUACCUUAGAAUCAGGACCACGGCAGUAGAAAGUCAAGAACUUUUUGGUACCGGUAAGGCCGUUUCCAGCUUCGAUUUGGGAAUCUUUACUGGUAAUUUUCCAUUGCCCUGCUUCUGUUCUUCUGUCGACGCGGUUACUGUUCCUGUACUUGUAACGAGGUUCAUAGAAAAAGUAAAAAACUUGAUCCUCAGACUCAGUUUUUGAUUCCGCUGCAUCAUAAAAAUAUAUGUCGCGUACCGGUUAGUUCAAUUGGAAAAAUUCUUCAGUGCAACAGCUUAGAAAGAAAAAGAAAAGAAAAAAUUACAUAUACAUACUUGGUAAGUCCCAUGGCUCAAGGCUGCACAUAUGACCAAUAUCCUUGAUAGGAUGAUGUGAGAAAUGGGGGUUAAGCCUCUUCUCCUUGAGAAGACGGAGGAUUAGUUCAUCAGAUGGCUGGAAUUUAUACCCACUCUCCAUUUCAGAUUCUUUUUUUUCUUUUUUUCUUUUUACAAUAACCACUUCUUCAAUUGCUGGUAGGGAUCUGGUGAAACCCCCCAAGACUGGUACUAAUUCAGAACAGUUACAGUGGUAUCUCUCCCUCUCUGGUUUGAUGGGAAGAAUUUGCUAUGGGAGACCCAAAGAGUGAGCGUGAGUGUGAGUGUGUGAUCAUGUCACUCGGUGAUCGAGUAGGUGAUCAUGUUACUUAUUUUUUACCAUCAAAAAGCCAAGGCGUUAACUCUG